rnacentral:lncRNA from 1 species
CACCUUGAGAUUUGCCUGAAGGAUCUGCAGGAAGACUUCAUGGGUGGUGCUGAAAUUAUUGUUUCUCCUCCUGUUGUCUCUUUCCGUGAAACUGUUCUUGAGAAAUCCUGCCGAACAGUCAUGAGCAAGUCCCCCAACAAGCACAACCGUCUUUACAUGGAAGCCCGUCCCUUGGAAGAGGGUCUCCCUGAGGCUAUUGAUGAGGGCCGCAUUGGUCCACGUGAUGAUCCCAAGGUUCGCUCCAAGAUCCUCUCUGAGGAGUUUGGUUGGGACAAGGAUCUUGCCAAGAAGAUUUGGUGCUUUGGACCUGAGACCACUGGCCCGAACAUGGUUGUUGAUAUGUGUAAGGGAGUGCAGUACCUCAAUGAAAUCAAGGAUUCUGUUGUGGCUGGCUUCCAGUGGGCCUCAAAGGAGGGUGCACUGGCUGAGGAGAACAUGCGUGGCAUCUGCUUUGAGGUCUGUGAUGUUGUUCUUCAUGCUGAUGCAAUUCACAGGGGUGGUGGCCAGGUCAUUCCAACUGCCAGGAGGGUUAUUUAUGCUUCUCAGCUCACUGCCAAGCCAAGGCUGCUCGAGCCAGUUUACCUUGUGGAGAUCCAGGCCCCAGAAAAUGCACUUGGUGGUAUCUAUGGUGUUCUGAACCAGAAGAGAGGGCACGUGUUUGAGGAGAUGCAGAGGCCUGGUACCCCGCUCUACAACAUCAAGGCUUACCUCCCUGUCAUCGAGUCCUUUGGGUUCUCCAGCCAACUGAGGGCUGCAACCUCUGGCCAGGCGUUCCCUCAGUGUGUGUUUGACCACUGGGACAUGAUGGGCUCUGAUCCUCUGGAGGCCGGCUCCCAGGCUGCUCAGCUGGUGUUGGAUAUCCGCAAGAGGAAGGGUCUCAAGGAGCAGAUGACCCCUCUUUCUGAGUUUGAGGACAAGCUCUAAAUUUUGGUGGUUUGUGCUGCUGUUACCCAUGCUGGUUUCAUGGCCAAUUCGUCUACUGUAACUGGAACUACUUUCAUGUUUCAUUUCCUUUAGUUGUCAGAUGCAUCUGUUUUUGAACAUCAUUGGCCAUAUGGCAUUGUGCUGCUAAGACUGUAUUUUGUUAUCCGGUUGUGAUGUAACAGAUGAAAUAGAGUUCAUAUCUGUGGUUUAAGUGGUAGUAUUUGCGGUAUAAUGCUUGUUUCUACUGCCUUCUGAAAGCCUUUCUUUUGCCUAACGGUAGAGCGGAUUAACUAAGGGUGUUGUAUCAUUUGAUUCAUUUGAUCCUUCAUCAAGGAUGAAGCCAUCUCCUCAUGGGAACACAUUAUUCUACUAUUAGAAGCGAAGAUGUAACAAAUUAGUUGAAAGAGGAGCGUUGAAAGAGGAGCGAACCAUACUUUACUAUAUGGUAAGUAGCAAAUUAGUUACAAGUAGCAAAUUAGUUGAACUUUAGGAUCAUGCACGUUGAACCUUGUUAUCUAGGAUCAUCCAUGGAUCAUGCACGUUGAACCUUGCUAACUAGGAUCAUGCACGUUGACCCUUGUUAUCUAGGAUCAUCCAUGGAUCAUACACGUUGAACUUUGCUAUCUAGGAUUAUCCAUGUAUGCAUCAUGUAGUGCAUCUGUGCAUGCAAUAUUCUGUUAUCUAGGAUCAUCCAUGGAUCAUACACGUUGAACUUUGCUAUCUAGGAUUAUCCAUGUAUACAUCAUGUAGUGCAUCUGUGCAUGCAAUAUUCUGCCCUUAGCUUGGUUUUACUGCCGAUAGCUAUAUAGUGCAUUUAAAUGCUUUUCUUUUGCCCACAGCCCCAGAGGUAGAGAGGACUAACUGUUUCUGUUGCUUUUUUUUUUUACGGUCUACGGGAGAGAGUGUGUGUGUGUGUUGGGGGUGGGAGCGCCCCCACCUGAUUUUCAUUUCAUUGAGGGUCUGUUUCAGGCCAAACGCUGUGUAGAUCAAAAGGAGAUAGAGAGAGGCAGUGUACAUCUGGUUUUGUGAUUGUUUUACAUCGAAGCAAAGACAGUGCACCAGGAGUCGGUUAUCACGCGAUCCUCUAUGCGAAACCGCUCGCGCCAAAGUCGGGCUUCGUCUCGGCAUGCCGACCAGAAGCGUUGUUGAGAUGGAGCGCAGCGCUGGAACACUGGGUCAUUCCGGUGCUUCCAUAACACCCACGGCAGAAGGAGUUUUUUCUUGCUUUGCCUUUAGCUUGGCUUUAAUCCUGUUAGCUAUGCCUAUGUAGAGCAUUUGGUCCUUCGAAUUUUAAAUCGAUGUUGAUUUUGAUUGCAUGCCGUCAUUUUGGGUUGGUUCCAACUAUGUUUUUAAUAUCAGUCGUUCUGAAGGUUACUCUGUUGACACUUGAUUGCAUAACCGUUUGCUAGUUUUGCGUGCAUCCGCGUGCUGGUUCGUCUCAUCAAGAACUAGCCGUUGCUCAAAACUCUGGCUUUCAGGCAUGGCCGCAACAGCCUGGAGGAUGUGUUGCUGUUCUGUAGCUGUAGUGUGCGUCUGUGCUAGUGGAUGCAGGGAGCCAGCGACCUAAAAGGAAUCGUGUAUUAGUGGAUGCAGGACAUCGGCCGUGGCGGCCUGGGGGAGACGACCACGCUCGACAUGAACGGCAGUAAGUUCAAUGGCACGAUCCCGGCGUCGCUUACCGGCCUAUGGAGCCUCCAGUAUCUAGAUGUGAGCGGCAACCGCUUCACCGGCACCAUCCCAGCGUUGCUAUCUGGACUCCGGAACCUCCAGCUUCUCGGCCUGAAUGACAACCUCUUCACCGGCACCAUCCCGGCGGACCUCGGCGAGCUGGCGAGCCUUCACAUGCUGUAUCUGGCAAACAACCAGUUCGAUGCAGGCCAGCUGCCGUCGUCGUUCAAGAACCUGACCAACCUGGUCAGCCUCUGGGCGUCGCAGUGCAACCUCGUCGGAGAGUUCCCGAACUUUCUUUGGAGCCUGAAGGAGCUGCAACUAUUGAAUCUGUACACGAACAACCUCACCGGCAACUUGGUGGUUGAUGGCCUUGUUGCGAGGAACUUGACAGUAAUCGACGUCUCGGAGAACAAGAUCACUGGAGUUAUCCCGAGUGUUUGGGAGCUUGGAGAACCUCAGAGACUUGAACUUCUUCAUGAACAACUUCUCCAGCGAGAUACCAGCCAGCAUCGGCCGGUUGCCCUCACUGACGAGGUUGAGGCUCCACACCAACAUGCUUAACGGCACGCUCCCACCGGAGCUCGGAAAGCAAUCGCCGGGCUUGAAUUAUGUUGAGGUUGAUUACAAUGAGCUCACCGCCGAGAUCCCGGAAGGGCUGUGCACUGGAGACAACCUCCAGCACCUCACCGCCAAGAGCAACCAAUUGAACGGCUCCAUCCCAGCAGGCCUUGCCAACUGCGCCACUCUUGGAACCCUGUCGCUGGACAACAACCAACUCUCUGGCGACGUACCAGAGGCUCUGUGGACGGCGACGAAGCUUUACCAGAGGCUCUUCCGGCCACGGUGCAUCUCAACCUUUCGACGAUACUCAUAGGGAACAACCAAUUUGGUGGCAACAUUCCGGCUGCACUAGCUGCGCUCCAGGUGUUCACCGCCGAGAACAACCGGUUUUCUGGUGCGAUACCGGCGAGUCUUGGCGACGGCAUGCCGCUGCUGCAAAGACUGAACUUAUCCGGUAACCAACUGUCCGACGGGAUCCCCAGAAGCGUUGCUAAGCUAAGCCAGCUGACGGAAAUGGACCUGAGCAGGAAUCAGCUCACCGGAGGCAUACCGGUAGAGCUCGGCGCCAUGCCGGUGUUAAGUGUCCUUAACCUGUCGUCGAACAAGCUCUCCGGCAACGUGCCGCAGGCGCUUGCGAAGCCGACACUCACCGCCCUAACCUGUCCUCGAACCAUCAGACCGGCCAGGUCCCGGCCGGGUUCGCCACCGCGGUCUACGACACCAGCUUCCUCAACAACCCCGGCCUCUGCACCGCCGCUUGGGGACCUGGCUACCUCACGGGCGUACGCUCCUGCGCCGGUGGAUCACAAGACGGCGGUUCCUCCGGAGGCGUGUCGCACGCCCUGCGCAGGGGAACCUCGCCGUGGCGUUCGCCUUCUUCGUCGUCCGCGACAUCAAGAAACGGCGGCGCGUCGCGGAGCAAGACAACUGGAAGAUCACGCCUUUCGUCAAAGAUCUGGGAUUCGGUGAGGCACCCAUACUCCGGGGGCUGACGGAGGAGAACCUCGUCGGGCGCGGGGGAUCGGGGCGCGUGUACCGCGUCGCCUACACCAACCGGCUUAACGGCCGAGCCGGCGCGGUGGCCGUAAAGCAAAUACGGACCGCCGGGAAGCUCGACCAGAAGCUGGAACGCGAAUUCGCGUCAGAGGCUGGCAUCAUCGGCAACCUCCGGCACAACAACAUCGUCAAGCUCUUGUGUUGCCGCUCCAGCGCCGAGUCCAAGCUCCUCGUGUACGACUAUGGACAACGGCAUCCUGGACAGGUGGCUCCACGGCGACGCCCUCGUCGCCGGCGGGCGCCCCAUGGCGAGGGCGCGGUCCGCGCGGCGCGAGCCGCUGGACUGGCCGGCGAGGCUCAGGGUGGCCGUCGACGCCGCGCAGGGGCUGUGCUACAUGCACCACGAGUACGAGCCGCCCAUCGUCCACCGCGACGUCAAGACGAGCAACAUCCUGCUGGACUCGGAGUUCCGGGCCAAGAUCGCCGACUUCGGGCUGGCCACAGGAUGCUGCUGCAGGCCGGGGCGCCGGAAACGAUGUCCGCCGUCGCUGGCUCGUUCGGCUACAUGGCUCCUGGUAAGGAUUCGAACUUGCUGCUUUCAGUGAAUUUCUGUCCCAUUUCUACAAAUGCCACGUGUUCUCGUGUUGCCGGACCUUAGAUUGGGCCUUUUGAUGCUUAUCUGCAGAGUGUGCUUACACCAAGAAGGUGAACGAGAAGGUAGACAGCUUCGGUGUCAUUCUCCUGGAGCUCACCACCGGAAAGGAGGCCAACAACGGCGGCGAGCACGGCUGCCUGGCGGACUGGGCACGGCGCCACUACCAAUCAGGAGGGAGCAUCGCCGACGCCACAGACAAGAGCAUCAGAUACGACGGGUACUCUGACGAGAUCCAGGUUGUCUUCAGGCUCGGCGUGCUCUGCACCGCCGAUAUGCCGUCGUCGCGGCCAACCAUGAACGACGUGCUGCAGAUCUUGGUCAAGUGCAGCGAGCAGACGUACCACAAGGGCAAGACGGAGCGUGGCCCAGAGUAUGAGGUGGCUCUUCUACCCAAACGCGGCAGUCGCCGGAAACAGCUUUCAAACGGCUCGGGGAUUUACAUCGAAGAGAAGAUGACAGCAUUGUCUGAAGAAAGGAACUGACCACUGCAUAUGCCAGUAAGCAGCUUGUGACAUCGUCAGUGAACUGCUUGCUAUAGUGAUACUUCACAUUUUAGCAGAGUACAGCGGAGAAUUAUGCCUCUAAUCUUUUUUUUUCUGAGGAGCUAAGUAUCUUUAUAUUAAAAAGAGAAUAUAAAUAGAAAAAAUCAGUCCAUUGGAAGCAACCACUCUAGCUCACCUAGGAGAAUAGAGAGAUUGCAUAAACAAGCGAAGAAAAAACCGUCACCAGACCUUGACCCUGCACGGCUGGACUAGGGACAUGCAUAGUAUAGAGCAGGGCUUGUGGUUAGCCAAACCGUUCUGUGUAUUGAUACUGCAAAUCUGUAUUAAAUCACACACACAUUAUACGUUCCGACAGAAGAACUAGCAAACAUUACGAUUAUACUCCCUCCGUUCUUAAAUAUAUAACGCUAUUGACUUUUUCAUUUGUUUGACUAUUCAUCUUUUCUACAAAUAUUUUUGCAAAUAGAUAAAUCUACGAGUUAAAUCUAAAGUACAUUUCACAAUAGUCAUAAUGAUACACAUUUUACUUUAGUUAACUAACUCAUUCAAUAGAUAUUGAUGGUCAAAGUUGGAGUAAAAAGCCAACAGCAUCAUAUAUUUAAGAAUGGAGGGAGUAAUUUAUUUCUGAAAUAAAGGCAGGAGAUGGAGCUCUGCUUAUCCAUUCAGAAAUUAGUACGAUUGAAUGAUUUUGUCUCCUUCCAGUUUUUAUUGUAAAACACAGAAUAUUACACGGAUAGGCACUGAUUGUUAUCCGGAAGAAAAUGAAUUUUUAUAUUUCAAAAGAAAAGGCCCAAUUUGCACCCUCUAGCUAGCACGAUAAUCCAAUUUUCAGCUAAACUGACCAUGGGCCGGCCCAAAGGCACAGGAAUUUGGCCCGGUCUAGGCAUGGCGGCCGUCGUGCUCGUGCUAACCCGACCCACACCAUGGGCCGUGCUUGGGCCGUUGCCUCAGCCCACGUACUGGUCCGGCACGGCCUGCCCAUUUGGCCCGUCGGGAUUAAGUGGGCGGCCCAUCCUAUUAAGGCCCACUCGACCGCAUAUAAAACCCCCCACCCCCAAACGGCCAAACCCUACCUUCCUCUUCGUGUCCCGCGCCCUUCGCCGCCGUCACCUCCCCCGCGCCCUUCGCCGCCUCUCGCGCCCGCCGGCCGCUCACGCCCUCCGCCGCUUCCCCCCGCCGCCUCCCUCACGCCCUCCGCCGCAUCCUCCCACCGCCUCCCUCGUGCCCUCCGCCACCUCCCGCGCCCGCCGGCCUCUCGCUCCCCUGCCACCUCCCCCGCGGCCCUCUGCCGCCUCCUACACCCGCCGGUCCCUUGCCGCAAUUGGGGAAGAUGGUGGCCUGCACGGCGGCGCGCGCAAACGUCCUGUCGUCCCUCGGCGGUGGGAGCUGCGGCACGAGUGGGCGCCUGGGCAGAUCCGGGAAAGGUCUAUGGGCGCCCUGACGACGAGGUGGUCGAAGUCAUCGGGGCUAUCGAACUCGACGACGACAGGCGCUACGGGCGUAUGAGCAGAGGAAGGGUGAAUUCUGUGCCGCAGGCUGGCACGAGCACGGUGAGGCCGUUAAGGCCUGCCAGGCCAGCGUGCCAGCACGGCCCACCUAAGAAGGCUGCGGGUCAUGCCUGGACCGCUCCUUCGGCACAUGGGCCGGCACGGCCUGGCACUAUUACCGUGCAAGCCUAACCGUGCCGGGCCUAACCGUGCCAGGCCAAAUCGUGCUCGUGCCAGGCCGGGUUGGGCUACCUGUUUGGCCAUCUAUACAUCCAACGGUUGAAACCAGAUAAAUUUUAUCCUUUAGCUGGUUUCAAAGAUGUUUUUUUGUUUUAUUAGACAUUUAAAAAAAAUCUGAUUUAAUCUUGUUGGGGGGAAAUAUUAACGAUCCCCUAAAUACCACUUAAAGGAGCAGACGCGAAGGCCCGGGCCCACCUAAGCAUAAUCAAAACUCCGCCUCGCCCGACCGCGGCCUCAGGGUCAGGAACGCCCGACCCCCCUCCACGAGGUUUCCGCCUCGUCCGACUGCGGCCCCAGGGUCGAAGGCGCCCGAUCCCUCGCCACAAGGUUCCGCCUCGUCCGACCCCAAGCGCAGGGGUCGGGCUCGCUGGGGCCCCCAGGGCAGGCAUCCCCCUCGGAUGUGGACCAGGUGGGCAAGAUAAACAAAUCUUGCGGGUCCCCCCCCCCAUCGGCCUCGUCAUAAAUGCGCUGCGGGCCUGGCAGAGGGAGGAAUGACCACGCUCCUCACACAACCCGCCGCAAGUACCCAUGCACGACCAUACUGUACAAGCUACAGCGCUGGCGGCUCACUCCCAUUCGCCGCAGGGUACUCAUGGCCUGCGCCGACCGGAGCGGAGGAGAGACUCGCCUGUCCUCGAGCCCCGCGCACCCUCGGGUCCCGUGCGCCUGGCAUCUAGGAUGUGACGCCCUCUCUCCAGGAGCCAUCAUCAGAAUGGCAGCAUCCACCGUCCUCCCCAACGGACACCGGGAUAACGACGAAACGCCCUCAUCAUAACCCGACGCCUACGGAUGCCGAAGGAGCUAUCUGUAGGGUGCAACGACAGUUGGCGCACGGCCGCCUCCCCCUCCGGCAUGCACGCCGGCGCUCGCCAGGAGCCGGCGGAGGCGUCGGGCGUCUAGGAACUUGUUCCUCCCAUCCUGCCGUAUUUUUUACCGUACUACGUUCACAUUUUACGGUCCUCUUCGCCCGAUCCCAACUGUAACUCUGGCCACUCCCCUUGCGAUAUAAAAGGAGGAACACAGGGCCGGAGGGGGGGAUCGGCUUCUUCCCCCUCAAGCCACAGCAUGCUAGUACGCUCCCUGAGAACAUAGGCUCAAAGAGACUUGGGACCAGUCCCUCUCUCGUCGGUCUGUAACCCCUACUACAGAACCCCGCGUGGGCAAUACGAGCAUCCACGAUACUGGACGUAGGGCUCCCUUUGCUCGAACCAGUCUAAUCCGUGUCUCCCACGCCACCAUCUGAGGCCUUACGCGCAUAAAAGAAAUUUACUAGUCUAAGUCUUGAUCCGCCAAUCUUGACAACGACAGUUGGCGCGCUAGGUAGGGGACCUUUGCGCAUACCCUCCCAGCCUCAGAUGGCCAAUUACGAUAGUAGCUUUGCUCCGGGCUCCCUGAUCCGAUUCGGGAGCCUGGACUUCCUCGCCACCGGGGAAGGGAUCAAGCUGAUCCCUGUCCUCAUCCUGCCCGCUCGCCCGCCUGCCCCCGGCCCCGCCGCCGGGACAGCGGUGAGCGGCCGCUCGCAUACCGGAAGGACCUCGCCAGGGGGACGGCCCUUCGGGCUACGCAAUGCCACGGGGGCCUACGGACGCCUCCUAGCGCGGUCCAUGACCGCGUCGCCCGCGAGCAACGAGCUCGUAGGUGCGACAAGGACGAUCUCCGACACCGGCUCCAGCAGCGGGAGCCCCCACCCCUCGCGUGAGUGCCUCGUGGUCGACGAGCACUCUGAGGGAUCCAACAGCAACGAUGCCGAGGAGAGACAAAGGGCUGCCCCUCGCGCGCCGCGGCUAUGACCGGAGCCUUACCAAGGGCACCAGAGUGCUCUCAGCAACGAGAGGCGCGCGCGGGCGCCCGCCAAGAAGUCGAGCACCCCCACCACGAGGGAGGAGCGCGACAACGGGCGCGAGACGUCCAGCGACGCAUCUGCGCGGAUGAAGAGCGUCCGCAGCUUUUCGCCCGCGCCAGCCAAAACGUCGCAGCCGCGGCGGUGUUGCUCCGACAGCUCCCCGAACCAGCGAUGCCCGAGGAGCGACGGGCACGCCAAGAGAUGCGCGACCUGCUCGAAUGCGCCGCCGUCCAGCAGGCGGAAAGCUCCGCGUCCCGGCGACGCGGGCAGAAUGCCAGCAGGGCGACGCCCGACGCGCCCCCGGAAAGGCGGGGGGAAUCAGUCCAUCUACCCCCUCCUGGGGCGAAUCAGGCCGCGUCCGCCCGACGGACUCCACCACCCGCGGGAGGCGAGGCUCGAUCCGUCCACCAGCGCGUCGGCCUCGUCCGCGACGCCCGCGACACCCUAAACGCGCGGAGACGCUCCCGCGCGGACAGGGAGGACGGGGUAGAUCGAGGCUACCACGUCCACCGUGGCGGGCGCUACGACAGCGGGGAAGACCGCAGCCUGAGCCCCGGUCCGGCUGGGCCCCGGGCCUUCUGUGCGCGCAUCCUGAACGCGCCUUUUCCGCCGCGCUUCAGGCAACCCAUGAGUAUAGCCAAAUACUCAGGGGAGACGAAUCCUGGAGUGUGGCUCAGCGAUUACCGGCUUGCAUGUCAAGCCGGCGGGGCGGAUGAUGACCUGUUUAUCAUCCGCAACCUACCCCUCUUCCUAGCCGACUCAACGCGAGCUUGGCUAGAACAUAUCCCUUCGGGACGAGUUCGCAACUGGAAUGACCUGAAGGAGGUUUUCAUAGGGAACUUCCAGGGCACGUACACACGCCCCGACAAUUCCUGGGACCUCCGGAGCUGUCGUCAGGGGGCGGACGAGUCCCUCCGAGAUUAUAGCCGGCGCUUCUCCAGGAAGCGCACCGAGCUCUCCAACGUCGCGGACGCCGAUGUCAUAGGAGCUUUCCUAGCAGGAACCUCCUGCCGGCCCCUCGUCCACGAGCUGGGGUGCCGAGGCCCGCGAACCACGGAGGAGCUCCUCAAUAUCGCCACUAGUUACGCCUCGGGCGAAGAGGCCGUUGGAGCAAUCUUCGACCGCUCCAAAGGCAAGGCGAAACGGGAGGAGGUUGCUGGCGAAGGCACCUCCAACCGCCAGCAGAAGAAGAAGGGCAAGUUACGGCGCGAGGCCCCCCUCGUGGCCGCAGCUGAGCGCAAGCGAGGGCCGCCGCCCCCCGAGGGCGCUCCCGGCUUCUUCGACAAGUUGCUUGAGGGACCGUGCCCGAACCACGAGUUCCCCGUGAAGCACGCCUACAAAGACUGCAACCUCAUGAAGAGAUACUUCAUGGGCAAUUCGGUGAAAGGCGACCGGAAGCGGAAGCCCGAUGAGGAAAAGAAGGGCGACGAAGAGAAGGAAGACGGCUUCCCCAAGGUGGACGGCUGCUUCAUGAUCUUCGGGGGCUCUGCGGCAUACGACACCAAGCGCCAGUAGAAGCUGGAGCGCCGGGAGGUCUACGCGGCCGAGCCAGCGACUCCGGCCUUCCUGGACUGGUCAGGGCCGGCCAUCACCUUCGACAGGACCGACCACCCUGGACGCGUCCGGCACCCGGGGCGUUACCCUCUCGUCGUCGACCCCAUCGUCGGCACGACGCGCCUCACCAAGGUGCUCAUGGACGGAGGCAGCAGCCUCAACAUCCUCUACGCCGAGACCCUCGACGCUAUGGGGAUCGACCGUUCCCGCCUCCAUCCCAGCAAGGCGCAUUUCCAUGGCGUCGUGCCAGGGAAGCAGGCGAUGCCUCUCGGGCAAAUCGACCUGCGCGUUACGUUCGGGACCCCUUCCAACUACAGGAAGGAGGUCCUCACAUUCGAGGUGGUGGGGUUCCGCGGAACCUACCACGCCAUCUUGGGACGGCCUUGCUACGCAAAGUUCAUGGCUAUCCCCAACUACACCUACCUCAAGCUCAAGCUGCCGGGGCCCAACGGGGUCAUCACCGUCGGCACGACCUUUCAGAAGGCGUACGAGUGCGACGUAGAGUGCUGCGAGUACGCCGCGGCCAUCACCGUCACGAGCGAUUCGGCAGUCCAGCUUGCGGAGGCCACCGAGGACCGGCCCGACUCCAGGCAGCCGAACAUCUCCUUCGAGCCCGCUGAAGGUAUCAAGGAGGUCCCCCUUGAUCCCGGUUGUUCCAACGGAGGAGUCGUGCGGAUCAGCGCGGCCCUAUCCCCCAAAUAGGAAAGCGCGCUCGUUGACUUCCUCCGCGCGAACAGCGACGUCUUCGCGUGGAAGCCAUCGGACAUGCCAGGCAUUCCGAGGGAAGUCGCCGAGCACUCCUUGAACAUCAGGGCCGGUUCCAAGCCAGUAAAGCAAGGAUUGCGCCGUUUCGACGAGGAAAGGCGCAAGGCCAUCGGCGAAGAGCUCCAGAAGCUUCUGGCGGCCGGGUUCAUCAAGGAAGUGCACCACCCCGAGUGGCUAGCUAAUCCUGUCCUUGUACCAAAAAAGAAUGGGAAAUGGAGGAUGUGUGUCGAUUAUAACGGUCUCAACAAAGCGUGUCCAAAGGACCCGUUUCCUUUGCCACGCAUAGAUCAAAUAGUCGACUCAACUGCCGGGUGCGAGACCCUCAGCUUCCUCGACGCAUAUUCCGGCUACCAUCAGAUCGCGAUGAAAGAGGCCGACCAGCUCGCUACCUCCUUCAUCACCCCCUUCGGUCCCUACUGCUACGUUAAGAUGCCAUUCGGCCUCAAAAACGUGGGGGCUACCUUCCAGCGAUGCAUGCUGUAGUGCUUCGGAGACCUCAUUGGGCGGACCGUUGAGGCCUACGUUGACGACAUCGUCGUAAAAUCCCGGAGGGGCGACCAGCUCGUUCCCGUCCUUGAACUAGCCUUCGAGAGGCUGAGGGAUAAGCGUAUUAAGCUCAAUCCCAAGAAAUGUGUGUUCGGAGUCCCAAGGGGCAUGCUGUUAGGCUUCAUCGUCUCCGUGCGCGUCAUCGAAGCAAACCCGGAGAAGAUAGCGGCCAUUAGAGACAUGGGGCCGAUCCGGAACAUAAAGGGAGUUCAGCGCAUCAUGGGAUGCUUGGCAGCUCUAAGCCGCUUCAUCUCGCGCCUCGGCGAGCGAGGGCUUCCUUUCUAUCGGCUCCUGAAGAAGACUGACCGUUUCGAAUGGACCAGCGAGGCCCAGGAGGCACUUGACCGACUCAAGGACCUCCUGACGAAGGCCCCGAUCCUAGUCCCGCCUACCGACGGCGAGUCCCUCCUGCUCUACGUCGCGGCGACCACCCAGGUGGUUAGCGCGGCCUUGGUGGUGGAACGAGAAGAGGAAGGACACGCUCUCAAGGUGCAACGCCCGGUGUAUUUCAUCAGCGAAGUCUUGUCCGAGUCCAAGACACGUUACCCGCAGAUCCAGAAGCUCGUCUACGCCAUCCUUAUCACAAAGAGGAAGCUGCGCCACUACUUCACCUCCCACCCGGUAACAGUCAUUUCGUCAUUCCCGUUAGGCGAAGUAAUCCGGAACCCAAAUGCUACAGGGAGAAUCGCGAAGUGGGCGCUUGAGCUCAUGGACCAGGGUAUCACCUACGUCCCCCGCACCGCCAUCAAGUCCUAGGCACUCGCCGACUUCGUGGCAGAGUGGACGGAGAUUCAAACGCCAUCGGCGCCAGAGAAGCAGGAGUAUUGGACAAUGUACUUCGACGGGUCACUGAUGAGGGCCCGCGCCGGAGCGGGUCUCGUUUUCGUCUCUCCCUUGGGCAUGCGCAUCAGGUACAUGAUCCACCUUCAUUUUCCUGCAUCUAAUAAUGUCGCCGAGUACGAAGCCCUCCUCAACGGACUCCGCAUCGCCAUCGAGCUGGGCAUCCGUCGGCUGGACAUCCGGGGCGAUUCCCAGUUGGUCGUCGAACAAGUCAUGAAGGAGUGGAGCUGCCACGACCCCAAAAUGGCAGCCUACUGCAACGAGGUCCGUAAGCUCGAAGACAAAUUCGACGAGCUAGAGCUCAACCACGUCGCAAGGCGCUUCAACGAAGCCGCCGACGAGCUGGCGAAGGCGGCAUCCGAAUGAAUGCUCGUCCCCGACGGCGUCUUCGUUAGCGACCAGUUGAAGCCCUCAAUCCGUUACCCAGAACUGCAGGGGUCGGCGAAGCACCCCCGGCCCUGGGAUCGGGACCCGAGUCAGGGGAGGUCGGCAGCGCGCCACCUGUCCGAGACCCGAGCACCAGCCCCGAGGGGGUCGACAACGCUUUGCCCAACUCGGCCCCGGGAGCCGAUCCGUCCGACCCCGGGGUCAUGGAAAUCACGGCAGAUUCCGCGGCGGGUGCCGACCCCCCGAUCGAUUGGAGAGCCCCAUACAUCGACUACCUCGUCCGCGACACGCUCCCGGCAGACAAAACGGAGGCCCGUAGGAUCGCGCGCCGCGCCAAAUCCUUCGCCAUCAUCGACCAGGAGCUCUACAAGAAAAGCCACACUGGAAUCCUCCAGCGCUGCAUCUCGAUCGAACAGGGAAAGGCGCUGAUCAAGGAUAUCCACGCCGGAGCCUGUGGUCACCACGCCGCGCCAAGGACCCUCGUUGGUAACGCCUUCCGACAAGGUUUUUACUGGCCGACCGCGGUCGCGGACGCUACCCAGGUAGUCCGCACCUGUGAAGGAUGCCAGUUCUUUGCCCGCCAGACUCACCUGCCCGCGCAGGCGUUGCAGACCAUCCCCAUCACGUGGCCAUUUGCGGUUUGGGGGCUAGAUCUCGUCGGACCCUUCAAGAAGGCACCCGGGGGCUUCACCCAUCUGCUCGUCGCCAUCGACAAGUUCUCCAAAUGGAUCGAGGCAAGACCGGUGGCGCAAAUCAGGUCCGAGCAGGUGGUCCAGUUCUUCACCGACAUCAUCCACCGCUUCGGGAUCCCGAAUUCCAUCAUCACCGACAACGGCACACAGUUCACUGGGAAGAGAUUCCUCCAGUUCUGCGACGACCACCACAUCCGAGUGGAUUGGGCGGCCGUGGCACACCCCCGCACGAACGGGAAAGUCGAGCGAGCCAAUGGCAUGAUACUCCAGGGUCUCAAGCCAUGGAUCUUCGACCGCCUUAAAAAAUUCGACGGACGGUGGGUUGCGGAGCUUCCCGCAGUCCUUUGGAGCCUGAGGACGACCCCCAGCCGGGCGACGGGCUUCACCCCGUUCUUCAUGAUCUACGGGUCAGAGGCCAUUUUGCCCACCGAUCUAGAGUACAGAUCGCCAAGGGUCAAGGCAUACGACGAACAGGGAAACCAGGCAUCAUUCGAGGACGCGCAAGAUCAACUCGAUGAAGCGCGAGACGUAGCUCUACUGCACUCGGCUAAGUACCAGCAGGCCCUACGGCGUUACCACAGCCGCAAGGUGCAAGGCUGAGCCUUCAACGUCGACGACUUGGUGCUCCGCCUCGUCCAAGACAACAGGGGUCGGCACAAGUUGACUCCCCCAUGGGAAGGCCCGUUCAUCGUCGUACAAGUUCUACGGCUGGGCACCUACAAGCUGGCAACUCCCGACGGGCAGGUUUUCAGCAACGCCUGGAACAUAGAACAGCUAAGGUGCUUUUACCCAUAGCUUUUAUUUCCAAGCCCUGCAUAAAACUUGUCUUCAAUUCCGAUAUUUCCUUUAAGCUCAGGGGUAUCCGACCCUGGCCUCGUUCCAGGGCCGCAUACCCCUCGGGGGCUACCAGUUUUGCUCCUCUGCGAAAAAAAAGAAACCCCGAGCCGUCUCGGUUCAGGCCUUUUCCUUUAAGCUCAGGGGUAUCCGACCCUAGCCUCGCUCCAGGAUCGCAUACCCCUCGGGGGCUAUCAGAGGUUCCGACCCCAGCCGCUCGGCCCUAUCUAAAAGAAACAUUUUUUCUUUUCAAACCGAACACUCCCUUUCUAGACCUUUGGGCGCAAAAAAGAGAAGGAUGCGCGAACGGUGCUCAGGCAAGUUUGAUCGGACUGCGAAAAAACCUACGCCCCAGCGGCUACGGCACCUUCGCUCAUCAAAACUUAAUGACGCACCCGACAACGCAUUCUAAACUUUCAAGCCCAAAGGAACAGCAAAGGGGAUCGGGAUCUUUCGCACAACGAAGUCAUAAACAAGCCUGUAUGGCCAUCACAAAAUAAGUUCGAAACUAACAUAAUUACAUUUUGGGCACAAGCCCGGUACAGUUAACUUGACGAGGGGUCGGCAGGAGGGAUGACCUCAUCUUCCAGGAGCUUCGCGAGGGCCUCCGCCGGCGCGGACACCGCUGCAUCAAUCCCGUCCAGCUCAGCUUCGGUGUAAUCAGCGGCGUACCCUUCACUCAUCCCGGCAAAGUUGAUGCCAGAAUAAUGGGAGCCGAAGACCCCGAAGGCUCGCCGCAUGCCGACGUGAAGCGCGUCCAUGGCGAUCUCGCGACGUCGACGGCGUACCCCAAGGACACGAGCCGGCAGAGAGCUCGACCCCUCCUCCGGAACUACGCCAAAGUCGUCACAGACGACGCGGACCGCAUCCCGCAAGGCGCCGUGCUCGCCGUGCUCCGCGUCGAGCAAACCCUUCAGCUUGGCGAUUUCGCCUGCAGGAACCACCCAGAAAAGCCCACCAAGUCAAGAACAGAACACAAAAUGUCACGGGAACGCGGGAACGGAAAAAAAAAGCCUCACCGUCGGCCCAGGCCUUCAACUCGCGCUCCCGGUCGGCUCCUUGAGACACGGCGGACUGGAGUCCCUGCACUUGCGAGCGAAGGCGACCAGUCUCCGCGCUAAGGGCUUCACGCUCCCCCCUCAGCUGUGCAAGCUCCCCGGCAUCACGACGGGCCCUCUCAGCGGCAGCUUGAAGCUCCUCGGCGUCGCGGCGGACCCUCUCAGCGACAGCUUGGAACUCCUCGUGGUCGAGGCGGGCUUUCUCGAUGACGGCUUGGAGCUUGGCCUCCGAUCACCGCGCCUCCUCCAACGCCGCCCCCUCACGCCUUUGCAGGUCCCGAAUGACCCCCUGGGCGGCAGUGACUUGCAGGGACAGGUCCCUGGUGCGCUCCCUCUCCGCGUUGAAGCGCUCCCAGAGACCCUGCUGCAGCCGAAGGAAAUCAGAUUUCCCCCGACUGCCCUCUUGGAGGGCCUGCAAAGCAACGUGCCAUUAGAAAAAAAAAAGCAAAAGGGAGGUGCUGAUCACCAACAGUAGGAGCAACAUACCUGGCUGCCAGGGAGGACGGUGUUACCCAGAACCCCCAACGCCGAAGACAGAGCCGCCUCAACGUGGGCAAGGCCGCCCUGCAUCGCCUGCCACUUGUGCCACUCAGUGGCGUCGUCCAGCGUGAAGAGAUGCCUCGGCGGGUCAUCGCGGGAUGACCAGCGAAGGACAGACCCCCUCCACGCCCUGGGAACGGAGGGAGCCGAGGCCGAGGCAGGGGCCGAUCCUGACGCUGCCGUCAAGGUCGGCACCAUUGCACUAGAAGCCGCCGAGUUUACUGACGGCCCCGGCACCUGCACGCUCGUCGCCGCCGAGGCCGCCGGCGGUAUCCCAGUGGGCCCCUCCGCCUCCGCCGCCGGAGCCACUCCCGCGGGGGUAAUUGGGGCGGAGGCCCCCGCCUCCGUCACCGUUGCCUCCGCCGCCGCGCUUUCGGGGGCAGGCGUUCCCUCCGCCACCGAUCCCGCCGCGGCUGCGGGGGCAUCCGCCCUACCUCCCGUCGCCGCCGUCUCCUCUGCCUCGUCGGCGUCGAAGUCGAUCACCUUCCCGGCCUGAGAACCCGGGGGGAUCGUGCCCUGCGCUGUAGGGGCGACUGGGGGGACCGAAGGCGGAGUAGGGUCCGCUCCCCCUCCCACGGCUGACACCGCCGUCGCUCCGCCGGCCGCCACCACAGGGGCCGCCUCCGCGGAGGGGUCCGCGGCCUCACCAGGGACCCCGCCGCUCGCCGCGGGCGGGACCGCGGUCCGCCCCCCAGAGGAGGUUGACAACCGCAACGCCUUCUUAGGCACCAGCUGCAGGGCAAGGCCACGAGGGGCGGCGCUGCAUAUCGACAAACAGACGUCAGCACAAACGAGCGUGAGAAGAGGAGAGGAACGAGGCGCAAGGAAGGCCAACUUACGUCCUUGAAGCACAAGGGCGGCGCGCGCGCUUCGACUCAGAGCCCGACGCCGACCCCGGGGCAUCUGGCAGCGGCCGCUUGUCGCCACUUCGCUGCUCUCCAGUCGCGGGCACGGCGGUGGAGGCAGUCUCUGCAGAUCUCCGAGGAGCACCCUGAGCGGACUCCUGGGGAGCGCCCCGCGCCGGCUCUGAAGUGGCGGCGGGGGCAGGCUCCGAGGACCCCCGAGGGGCGCUCCGCGCCAGCUUUGGGAAGGAGCCCCGUGUCGACCCCUGGGGGGCACCCUUCACCGACCCCUGGGGAGCGUCCCGCGCCCGCUCCUGGGAGGCACCCCGCGCCGGCCCCUGGGGGGCGUUCCGCGUCGACUCCUGGGGGGCGUCUCGUGCCGGCUCCGAAGCGGCGGCGGGGGCAGGCUCCGAAGACCCCCGAGGGGCGCUCCGUAUCGACCCCUGGGGGGCACCCCUUGCCGACCCCUGGGGAGCGUCCCGCGCUCGCUCUUGGGACACGCCCCGCGUCGGCCCCUGGGGGGCGUCCCGCGUCGUCUCCUGGGGACACGCUGUACUGGCCCCUGGGGCGCAGCCCCAGGGCCUGGUGGAGCCGAAGCCCGGGCGGGCGCCUCCUCCACUUCACCUCCCGCGGCCGUCCGCGGGGGUGCCUCACGAAUGGCGAGGGCGCCCGAUCGGAAGGAGGAAAUCAGCUCCUCCUCAUCAUCAUCUUCCUCAUCUUCAUCCUCUUCAUCAUCGUCGUCAUCAUCGUCGUCGUCGUCAUCGAACACGACCGACCCCCUCCGCCGCCGUUGGAACUCCUUAGCGGCCUUCUUCCUCUUCUUCGCCAUCUCGAUGUCCUUCCGGCGCUUCUGCGCCUCGGCGAGGAGACGGUUGUGCGUCCGCCGCUCAACAUCUUCCGGCACCGGCGGGAGCGAGUGCGCGACCCGGGUUAGCGGACCCUACAAACGCAAAGCAGCUCCACGUCAGAGUGACAAUCGCAAGACACGAAGAAAGGAGGAGGACGCCCCAACUCCUUACCAGAUCUAUGAGCCCGCAUCCGGGCGCAUCGGCGGGUGCCCGGGAAUCGGGUACUCGACGUCCUUGUCCUCCAGCGCCUCCCGAAUCCGUUGCCGGAUCUCGGAAGCGACGAGCGCACCCGUCGCCAAGGCGGUGCCCUCGGUCGGCGCGUCGGGGGUCAUGGCGGCAAGCGGUCGGAUUCAGAGCAUCAGUGGCGCCACCCGUCGGGUGUGGUACGCUCCGAUGACCCCGGCGCCGGUGAGCCCGUCCCGCUUCAGCCGCUCGAUGGCCUGCAGCAGGUCGAAGAACCGCUUCUUGUCCUUCUCCACUGGCCCGUACGCCCACACCUCCGGCGCCGCGUCGAUGGUACGGCCGGUGAAAGCCGGCAGGGGGGAGUUCGGGUAGUUCUUCACAUAGAACCACUGGUUGUGCCACCCCUUGUGGGACGCCGAGGUCUUCAUCGUCAUGUUCUCCUUGGAGCGGGUAUGACGAAGGUGGAUCCCGGCGCACCCGAUCGGCACCGGAGGUGACCGCUGCUGGCUCCCUCGCUUCUCCGUCUUCUGGUACAGGCUCACUGUGAAAAAGUAUUUCCACAGCGAGAAGUGGGGCUCAAUGCCUAGGAAUCCCUCGCACAGGGCGACGAACGCCGCAAUGUGCUGGAUCCCAUUGGGUUUGAGGUGCUGGAGCUCGAGCCCAUAGUAGUGGAGGAGCCCCCGAAAGAAGCGGCUCGAGGGAGAGGCGAACCCCCGCUCAUGGAAGUGAGCGAAGGAGACGAUGUAGCCAGAGAGAGGCUCCGGCACCUGCUCCGGGCCCGACAGCAACCACUCAGCCGCCUCCGUCUUCUCGCAGAGGAGGCCUUUUCGCACCAGGCCCUCGGCGCGCGAGGAGGUGAAAUGGGAGAUCCCCCAGGAACCCAUCGCCGGAGGAGGGAGAUCAACGGAGGUGAGAAGAAAGGGCACGGCUUGGAGCAAAGGAAACGAAGCGGGCACGGACAAACUGAACGCUAGGCUGGAGGGCGGAAAGGCUCGAAUGCAGAAGGCGGGCGGAACCGGCGCGGCGGGCUCCCGUUUUUAUAGGAAAGGUACGGGAGAAGCCAAAUCGACGCCCCGGCCGCCAUAAAUGCGGCGCCAGGUACGCCCCUGCCACGCCCGUUUCCUUUUCGAAAACCGCGCGCACGGCCGGCCGCGAAAACAUCCUAUCCUCCUCGAUUCGCGGGAUGGCGCUUCCCAUAACUCCACCUCCCGGAAGGCACGACGUCCCCCACGUUCGGCCCAGACGUCACGACCGCUCCGUUCUGGCCCAAGGCCCACCGAAAGGUAAGAAAGGGAUACGGGGCUGAAAACGCCCCUACGGCCCAUUACGGUCCAGAGGUUCGAAGGCUGGCCCACCGCGGGAUCGACAGCUGCCUCAGGAUAUCUCCCGAGCAAGGGGUGAGAAGGGACGGGUCCACUAGCGGCCAACACCCAGGCAAGCGAAAGCCAAGGGCGUCCCGACCUCACGUUCGAGUCCCGUCCGGUAUAAAGUUCAUGGUUUUUCCACGGGGAAAGGCAACGAGCCCCCGGAUUCGGCCGAACGGACCCGGGAACUAUAUGAACUGGCCGGCGGGAAAUUGUAGUACGCCACCAGCUUGGCCCGAGCCGGACCCCCCCGAACGGGGACCGGGACUCCACUCGAACCUACCUGUUCGCAGCUCAAAGCGAGCACCACGGUUCGUCCAACUAGGAUAACGUGGCACGGCUCAACCCCUCCGUCCUAGCGAACGGACGCUUGAGGGGCAACGACCAAAAGUCGACCUGGCCUCCCGACCGGUCUCCCGCAACGAGCAGGGGCUCGGGGGCUAGCAUCGCAACCAACGACCAUGCGUAUGGUCACGAUUCCCAGGCUCCCCGGCCAAACCGGGAUGAAGCAAGCGCACCAUAAACAAAAUCCACGGAGAAACGGCGAAAGAAGCCUCCGGAGGAGCACUUUUUGCUCCACCACAGGCUCGGGGGCUACUGUUGGGGGGAAAUAUUAACGAUCCCCUAAAUACCGCUUAAAGGAGCAGACGCGAAGGCCCGGGCCCACCUAAGCAUAAUCAAAACUCCGCCUCGCCCGACCGCGGCCUCAGGGUCAGGAACGCCCGACUCCCCUCCACGAGGUUUCCGCCUCGUCCGACUACGGCCCCAGGGUCGGAGGCGCCCGACCCCUCGCCACAAGGUUCCGCCUCGUCCGACCCCAAGCGCAAGGGUCGGGCUCGCUGGGGCCCCCAGGGCAGGCAUCCCCCUCGGAUGCGGACCAGGUGGGCAAGGUAAACAAAUGCUGCGGGUCCCUCCCCCGUCGGGCUCAUCAUAAAUGCGCCGCAGGCCUGGCAGAGGGAGGAAUGACCGUGCUCCUCACACAACCCGCCGCAAGUACCCAUGCACGACCAUACUCUACAAGCUACAGCGCUGGCGGCUCACUCCCAUUCGCCGCAGGGUACUCAUGGCCUGCGCCGACCGGAGCGGAGGAGAGACUCGCCUGUCCUCGGGCCCCGCGCACCCUCGGGUCCCGUGCGCCUGGCAGCUAGGAUGUGACGCCCUCUCUCCAGGAGCCAUCAUCAGAACGGCAGCAUCCACCGUCCUCCCCAACGGACACCGGGAUAACGACGAAACGCCCUCAUCAUAACCCGACGCCGACGGAUGCCGAAGGAGCUAUCUGUAGGGUGCGACGACAGUUGGCGCACGGCCGCCUCCCCCUCCGGCAUGCACGCCGGCGCUCGCCAGGAGCCGGCGGAGGCGUCGGGCGUCUAGGAACUUGUUCCUCCCAUCCUGCCGUAUUUUUUACCGUACUACGUUCACAUUUUACGGUCCUCUUCGCCCGAUCCCAACUGUAACUCUGGCCACUCCCCUUGCGAUAUAAAAGGAGGAAGACAGGGCCGGAGGGGGGAUCGGCUUCUUCCCCCUCAAGCCACAGCACGCUAGUACGCUCCCUGAGAACAUAGGCACAAAGAGACUUGGGACCAGUCCCUCUCUCGUCGGUCUGUAACCCCUACUACAGAACUCCGCGUGGGUAAUACGAGCAUUCACGAUACUGGACGUAGGGCUCCCUUUGCCCGAACCAGUCUAAUUCGUGUCUCCCACGCCACCAUCUGAGGCCUUACGCGCAUAAAAGAAAUUUACUAGUCUAAGUCUUGAUCCGCCAAUCUUGACAACGACAAAUCUAAAAAUCCAUAACUAAUUAAUUUUAAAUCAUAAAAGUUUGAAACUAUUACCCAUCAUCUUUUUCUAGAAUGUUACCUUUUAUGUUGGUUUUUUUGAGUUAUUUGCAUAUUAUUGUCCCCAUCUCUAGUGUUUUAUUGCUUGUAGUCAAACCUACUAUUUAUUUAUUGUUGUUUUGCAUUGUAUGAUUAUUGGAUGCUAUGCGAUACAAAGAUAAUUGUUCAACAACCAUAUGCAUCAUGAAGAAAUUUCCGGAUACGAUUGAUAUUAGUACAUUAUUAACUUCUUAUCAAGAAAUAUCAAUGAAGUGUUUUAUAUGAAUAUUUUUAAUGCACCUUGAGUUUUUGGAUAACCUUUUUCAUAAAAGUUAAUUAGAUGCAUUCUUAACUAAAUAAGCCAUUUGGUAAUUUUUCAAAAAUGUUUAUUUAGGUAACAGAAAAUUUAUUUAUUUAUUCUGGAAAAAGUUUUUUUUUAACGAAGUUAGCAAGGAAAGCACCUACCUAUUCUUUAAUUGUUAUUUUAGAUCCGUUUAAUUCGCUCCCACGAGAAGUUGAAUAUAGACCUGCAGGAUGUUACUCAGGUGCUCUAACCACUAGACUAGAGUCCCUUUCGCUUCUGAAAAAGGUUUUACAAAAAUCUUUUCCCUAUUAUCUUUUGUUAAGUCUGGGAUGUUGCCGCACGUGGGAAAGAAAGAACGGGAAACAUAGACCGAGACCGCUGCUGCGCCGCCACCAUGCUUCGCCGUUGGAGGGUUAGGGUUCGGGGUUUCGGGUUAUGGGUCAUCGAUGGCGCGGCUAUCUCCGAUGUGGCUGGGAUAUAUGGGAGGUUGACGGUGGCUAGGUAGCAGGCGGUGGUGGCGGGUUGUGUGCGGGAUGGCGGGACACCACCAGUUCCGAUUUGUGGAAGACAAUAGGUGGCCUCUAGAGGCAGCGGGGGAAUCUUGGUGAGCUUCCCGCGCGGGGCUGGGUUAGGGCGGCGAAGGAUGGUGGCGGUGGAUGUGGCAGCGCGAGCCGCCGGAGAUGAUGGAGGAUGGCGGCGCGGGCGCGAGCAAAGGAGGACAGUGCGAUGGUGAUCGAGGGUUGCGACCGGCGACGCCGGAUGCAGUGGCGAGAGCCGUCGGAGCUAGAGGAGGAGGGCAGCGCGGGGGCAUGGGCGUGCGCGCUCCUGGGCUGCCAUCACUGAAGGUGACAUUGGUGAUUUUUGUCACCUUCUGUGAUAUAUAGAUAUAGACAUGCUCUAGAUAGAGGACUCCUUGGAGAGACCCCGAGAAUGGAGAUGGGCAUUUGGAGCUCUUCCAAAAUAAGGAAUCUAGAGGACUUGCUAGAAUGCAUUUUUUUUGACUUGGUCCAUUGGAGUUGUUCUAAGCCAACAACUAUUAGCAUCCUUUUAGAUAACUCUGUUAAUCUGAAAUACAACAGUUUCCUACUUUAUGUAUAAUGAGUGUCAUUGCGUCACUACGUACGAGGUCUACUUUAUGGCGGAUCUGAAGGUGUGUUUGGUUGGGAUGUGGCUUUUGGAAAAGCUACUGUGAGCUGUGGGCUGUGAAAAAGUAGCGGGGAGAAAGCAGCUGUGGGAAAAGCAGAAGACCGUUUGGUUAGAGCAGCUACGAAACUGUAGGUUGUGUAAGAAAUACCUGUAAUGCCCCUAAAGGUCUGCGGGUGUGUUUACAUGCAAAUUGCUCAUAACAAAAUAAUGUGUUCACUAAUUCACAUGUAAAUGACUAUUUUAGAAAGGAAAAAAAAUAAAUUUUAUAUGUUCUUCAUCCAUAUAAGUGAUUGGUCCACAUAAAUAGAACAAUAUCCAUCAAAAGGUUUAUACAAUGAUGUCAUCUCUCAACAUUACUGUCCUCCUCUCGCACUAACCAAAGCAUCAACUAUCCUAGCAUGAAUGAUAUUCAUGGUAUCCUCAUUCUCCAUAUCGUCACUCUCAUCUCCUUGUGUUUGUCUCGUGCCACUUGUAUAUUGUACCAAGUACUCCUACAAAACCGAGUUAGUAAGGUACAUAAUAAUACACGUAUUUCUAACUUGAUGAAGGAAUCAUGUAUACCUUUAGGAGGCACGAGAAAUAUGUCUCAAAGCAUUGUCGAGAAAAUUGAAAGAAAAGAUGAUGAACAAAGGAGGGUCAAUUCUUGUUGCUCUUUGGACUAGAGGAUUGACGAUGAUCAUUGCAGUCCUAACAAUUCUCUUGUUGCAGAACAGAGUAGCAACUUCUGAGUAGCAUAUGAUUCUUACAUCUUCCAGGCGAGGUGGCUAGUGUGCUGGAUGAAGUUGAGGUCCCUUGGCAACCUGGCAAACGCCUCCGUCAUGUCUGCAGGCAAAAUUUCCAAAAAAAACAAGAAGAUUUCAACACCACCAACAAAGCAAGCAUGUAAUCACCUGAUUAAUCAAUCAGCAAACAAUUCACAACUAGCAAUCUGUAGAAAUUAGCACGCCAUUACCGUCCUGGGUGAUGAGCGGGUAGUCGGAUGCGUUGAGGUUGACGAACCAGUCCCAGCGGCGGUGAAGGCGGAGCAGCAACGCGACGGCGUGCAGCGUGGUGGUGAGCAUGGUGGGGCCCCGGUAGGUGACGAGGUUGGGCCUGCCGACGAUCCACACGUUGCCCGCGAUCGCGUACACACCCCACCUGGACAUGAGCUCUGCCAGCCGGCAGUGCUCCUCCCCUGGACCGCAGGUAGUUGUUGGCCGGGUGGUACAGUGCCGCCAGCAGCCGCAUCGUGCGGCCCACUUCCCCUGAGGAUGCCGAGAUAAGGUAUGCGAACGAGAUCGGGUACCGCGGCGCCUCGCCGGCGGCACCGUCGAAGGCGGCCAACGAUGAGAGUGUUGACGUCGGUUUUUGACACGUGUCAGGGUCGACGUCAAGAGGAGAAGAAAGUGGCUGAUGCGGUUAAACAAGAAGCUAUGGCUAGAGAAAUCAGUCAGUAAAGCUAUAGUGUUUCAGCCGAUUAGCUAAUGAGAUAGAUGAAGACUGGCCGAUUGGAAGCUAGAAAAGCUCGGCCGAUAUGGGCCUAAAUGGGCCAAGGUGGUAACAAGAUGAAGAUAGGAUUGGCCCAUAGAGGAUUGGAUGGUGUUCGACUCCGAUACAAGUUGUAUCCGUAUGUAAAUAUUUGUUGCUUUGAAUAAGAAAUAGAAUAUUGAGUCAUAGUCGGUUAGGAAACGAGUUGUAACAGGGUAUAAAUAGGUGCCCCGUGAGGCUGGCAAAAACAUCAACAAACAUCAAUACAAAUCUACUUUUUCAUGCAACUUUACUUUCAUGUCGGCGACUUUGCCAAACCCUUUUCUUUUCACGAGUUCGUGUGAGUUGGCAGGGCUGCAUCAACGUGAUCUCCGAGCAAUUUGUAAGUUCCGCGUUUCGAGUAAUAUAUAAGCUUUAACUUUGGGCGUAUCGCUGUUGUUUUGUUUAGAUUUAUUCACUAGUUAUCGAUAUUUGCUAGAAUUAUAGGUUUUAUUCUCCGGUGGAAAGAUUGUGCCUUUGCCUGUAUUUCUCUUGCACUAAACUCAGGCGAUACCUAUUAUCGGCGGAAUGUGUGGUCGCGUGUAAAGUUGAUGUUGUCAAGUAUAUGUUAUCACUGCCGAUCUUGAAGGGAAGGAUUGGAAAAUGUAUUCUGGCACUCUCAGAAUUCGAUCUCAGGUACGAAUCGGCCAAGGCCGUCAAGGGUCAGGUAAGGCUGAUUUCGUCACCCAACACUGUGGAUCAGAAAUUACUGUCGUUGAGCCGGCUCCAUGGACUCUGUACUUCGAUGGAUAUUCGUGUGGGAUUGGAUCAGGAAUCGACAUAAUUCUUAUAUCGCCUCGGGGGGCAAGUUAUGAGUUCUCUCUGCCGAUUGAGGCUUCCGCUACUAAUAAUCAAGCAGAAAAUCGGGCUGUCUUAAAGGGCAUCCAAUUAUUGAGGGAGGUCAAGGCUGACGUGGUAGAAAUAUUUGGGGAUUCCAUGAUUAUCGUGGAUCAGUUGAUUGCAAAGUGUGAGUGCAAGGAUGAUAUUCUAAGGAUUUAUUAUGAGGAAUGCCUCCGGUUGCUCAAAGAAUUCAAGACCGUAACUAUUGAACAUAUCCCUAGGGAUUACAAUGAGGAAGCCAAUAGACUUGCCCAGCACGCUUCUGGCUACUGGCCGAUUCAUGGCGCUUUCGCUCUAGAGCUGGCGGCCGACAACUGGAGGAAGGAGAUCGCCGAUUAUUUAAAGGAUCCAUCCAAGAAAGUUGAUCGGCAGAUACGCUUCCAAGCCACAAAGUAUGUGUUACUUGAAGAUGAAUUGUUUUAUCGGACGAUUGAUGGAGUGUUUCUCAAGUGCCUUAGCAUUGAGGAAGCAAAGAUUUUGAUGGGUGAGAUUCAUGAAGGUCUAUGUGGGACCCAUCAAUCGGCUUUCAAGAUGAAGUCGAUGAUUAGAAACAAUGGGUAUUACUAGCUGACAGUACUUGAAGAUUGUUUCAAAUAUUAUAAAGGCUGUCAGGAUUGUCAAAAAUUUGGCAACGUGCAACGAGCCCCGGCCUCGGCUAUGAACCCGAUAUUAAAGCUGUGGCCAUUUAGAGGCUGGGUAAUUGAUCUCAUCGGUUAGAUCUAUCUGCCGUCAAGCAAAGGGCAUAAGUUCAUAUUGGUGGCGAUUGACUACUUCACCAAGUGGGUUGAGGCGGUUCCUUUGAAUGUUGUGAUGUCGGCCAACAUGAUCGAAUUCAUGAAGGAGCACAUCAUUUAUCGAUUUGGUAUUCCUCAGACCAUCAUGAUUGAUCAGGGGUCAAUGUUUACCUCAGGGAGUUCGAGGAGUUCACUGCCAGUAUGGGAUUAAGCUGUUGAAUUCUUCUCCGUAUUACGCUCAGGCCAAUGGUGUGACGACCCCGGUUAAAUCUUUCGAGUUAAUCUUAAUACGAGCCCCAAAAUUCCUCUGUCUCAGUUUUUCCCGAGCAGGAGUGCUCCACUCCAGUUCCUGUUCCUGACCCGUGAAGACUCUAACUCACCCCGCCAGUUCCUUUUAAGUCUCAACAACAGUGUCCCUUUCAAUCUUGAACAGAGGAAAGACCGAGACUGACGGAUGGACCCGCAAUCUUUUCCCCGGAUCUCCCGAGGCAUACGCACUCGAGCGGCCUGCACCGCUUCAGAGCUCCCCCGCCGCGUGGCUCAACUUCUCCGACGCCCGCCGCUUCACCCAAUCGCCGGCCGGGACAGGAUAGAUUCUCACGCCCUCCUCCCCAAUCGCAGCGGAAGCCCCUCUGCAACCCUUUCUGCUGCGCCUCGUCUCGCUCGCGCCCUCGCCGGCCGCGCCUUGGUGCUCCGACACCGCUGUGGCAGAGCUUUGCCGCUUGCUGCAUCCAAACUACCUCGCAGCUCACGCCCGUCAUCAUCUCACUGGAUCCCCGACUGCAAGGCCCGAUGCCUUCCGACUUUUCCACCGCCUCUACACAGUCGCGCUCGCCUGCGCAGCCGCAGCCUGCCUAUCUUUUCACCGGUUGCAACCUCGCUUGUAGCGCCGUUCUCCCUGUCACACCCAUCAGAUCCGCCGCAUGACGACGCCCGCCUCCGCCAAACCUCAACUACCGGCAAAACCGCGCCUGCGCCGCCUUGUCUCCCGUGCCCAAUAGCCAAGGACCCUAUCUCCGAAAUCCUGUUCCGCCGCCCAUCGACGCCCAGUCGCCGCCAUGGCAGCGCACUCCAUCCUUUUCUUCCGGUCUUCGUGCUACUCCAACUCCCUCUCUCUUUCGCGCAGCUAUAAAAAGGAAUGCCAGAGCCCUACUGGAGAUCCCUUCACCAUCGUUGCCUCGCCGCCUUGUUCCUGAGCGCCGCCACCUAAGUUCUUGAGGAACUCUCAUCUUCGCUCAACACCCGCCCCUCCCAAUCCACCAAGCCGCCUGCUCCUCCACGCUAUGCUAGAGCUUCCUUGUUGCUCACAAGAAGCUCCGCCGCCGCCGGAGCACCGCCGGACAUAGCCGCCACCAAAGCCUUAGUGCUUAAGACCUUCCGCCCAAGUCUACUCCUUCCCGACCCCAAAGCUUCACCUAUAAACCAAAGGUAAGCUGCCGACCCCUUACCGGUUCGCCCGACCCUACCUGUUCGCCUGACCCUACCUGUUCGCCCGACCCCUCUUUCCAUCUCGCCCGACCCUGUCUGUUAGCCGGCCCUUAUCUUCUUCGCCCGAGGACUCGGCUGUACUCUUUUCCUUGACCCGAGGGUAUCUGUGUAAGAUUUCGGGGACUUCUCUGUAAUAGCUUUGAGGACCCCAAACACAUUAAGGCUUAUGGGUCAGAUCAUAAGUUCUUCCAAUUCGACCCUUGGUCUUGUUCUCUAUCCACUGAAGCUUGAACCCCCACACUCUUUCCGUAGCUUUGCUACAAGUUUCUGGGCUAAGACUUGCGAGUGUUGCUGUUGAAAUAACCGUCUAGACACUAACUCCAGCAUUGCAUUCGUGUAGAGUUUCAUCUUGCUGACGGCGUCUACGAACUACACCCGGUGCCAGAAGACGGAGCUGUAGCUGAGCUACCAGUUCCAGAAGCCGAAGUCGCACCAGCUGAAGACCCGCUUCCCUCCCCUCCACUUGAAGGCAAGUCCCGGAGCAUGAACCCCAAAGUUUCCCAAACUUGCGCAUGCCUUCUUUCUCAUGUUUGUGCAUUUACGUAUAGGAGUUGUUUGCAACCUUAGAUGCAUGGUAUAGUUCCUUGAUCGGAACACUAGUUGUUGAAUCGAGUAGUUGCUAUGCUUAAAUAGGAAGUGGUAAAAGUCGAGUGAUUUCCUGUCACUCGCGAGUUAUAGGAGUUGGUUGUUCUCCUUCUGUUACAACUAUAAGGACGAUGGAUGGGGCAAGGUUUUGGUUAACUCUUUUGCUAGUCGGCUGAUCCCCCCGUCUGUCUAUGGAAUCUGUUAAGGCCCGAUAGUGGUGGUGUUCGUGAUCAAGUGUUUGAAAGUACUAAUCUCAUACCUAGUAUGGGAUGGGGAAGCCUAGUACCUGAUUGAACUAGGGCGUGGCUUAUACCCCUGCUGUCCCUGGAACGAGGUUCCCAUGGUGCAUCAUGUGGGUGCAAGUGCGGUCACAGUACGGUAGAGGCCGGGAUUGUGGAGCAUUGCAUGCCAAGGGAAGUUGGACCUGACACGUGCCUGGGAAUUGAUGGGGACGGCUGACACAGGAAGCGACCCUUGUGGUGCGCGGAUGUCGUGAGAUUAGGUUUGCCAUGCAUGGUUAAGAAACUCGAAGGAUUCGUCUGCCUCUCACAGUUUGAGACUGCUUGAUCGCUAUGCUACACUGAUUAAUGAAAGAGUCUGAUGAUGACAUGGUCUUGAUGAGUAGCUUAUAUACAUAAAGUUGGAUCUAUGUUUGCUUAGAGUAAGAUGCCAACGUAGACUGGUUAAUGAACUUAGAAUUUGAGCUAAAACUUGAAAGCAAGGACCUAACGUAGUAGCUUUUGGCAAACAAAACCCCUCAGCCAAAGAGCCUUGCAUGUCUAGACGUGGUGGAGUAGUUUUACCACCGGUCGGUUAAGUCUUGCUGAGCGUAGCAGCUCAACCUUGUUUGUGGCUUUCUUUUCAGGUGAAGUCGCAGCUCCUGAGUUUGCUUCCGUUGGCACUUGGCCGCCCCAGCUCCCUCCGGGUUGGACGGUUGAGUGGGAUCCUUCCUCGGACGGUGAGGAGAGGGAUCAUUGAUGUCCUGAUCGGCCUCAUUAGGGACAUCCGACCCUGGCGCUAGCUUCCGCUAAUUUAGCUUUCCGCUGCUUUUGAAUCUUGUAAAACUCUGAUUUUUGUUUUUAUGUUGAACUAAAUUGUCAAACUUGUUUAACUCAGUGGAUCUGUUGUAUUCUCUGAAACCGCUCACCUUCGUGUGAGUUUCGCUAAUCCGGUCCUGUAAGUGGUUUAAUCGGAGGAAAUCCGACGGCCCUUCGAGUUAACUUGACUAAGGCAUAAGUGUCGCGUGUCAGGCGACUUAACAAUGCUUUAAUCAAGGUAAUCCGAGGUGGUUCCACCACAAAUGGUCAGGCCAAGUCAUCAAAUAAGGGGGUUAUUAAACUGAUUAAAAGGAAGGUCAAAAAACAACCAAGACGGUGGCAUACAACGCCGAAUGAGUCCUUAUGGGCUUAUCGGAUGGCUUGCCGCGGUGCCACCAAGGUGUCCCCUUAUCAGUUAGUAUAUGUGCAUGAAGCAGUAUUACCUUGGGAGUUGAAGACUGGGUCUAGACGUGUGUCACUUCAGAAUCAGUUGUCGGUUGAUGACUAUUCCGCCCUCAUGAGGGGAGAAUUGGAAGAUUUGGCGAAUCAACAGCUAAGGGCUUUGAUCAGCAUUGAGGAAAAUAAGAAAAGAGUCACCAGGUGGUAUGACAAGAAGGUCAAGGUCAAAAGGUUUUCCCAAGGGGAUUUAGUCUGGAAGUUGGUUCUGCUGAUAGUAUGGAAAAUGGUCGCCCACUUGGGAAAGGCCAUAACGGAUUAGCCAAUGUGCUCUAGGCAAUGCAUACAUACUGGAGACUUUUGAGGAAGAAGAAUUUACAAGGGCCUUGAAUGGAAGAUAUUUGAAAAGAUACUACCCUAGUAUAUGUGUAGGCGCUUAGCCGAUGAUGUGGCAUAACGGGCUUUCACGGUCGACGCGUACUGAUUCGUGUUCAUAUAGCCGAUGCAAGGGGCAUCGCCUUAAGAUUGAAAGAGGCGAAAUAGUGUAUAUAUAACUAAACCGAUCAUUAUUCGGUACACCAACUAAAUAUAUGGCCGGCAUGAUACAAGUCGCCCUUAGAUAAAAAGUACCGACACAGUUAUGGGUUACAACGAUUUAACAACGUUUCAUGUGAGCUUUAUUCAUAUCGAUUUCUUUCUGAAGUCGAUCCAAUUCGAUCUGGAGUCGGGCGUUCUUCUCCUCUAGUUCUGCCAUGUCAUCUUCAACAGCAACUUGACAGGGUAACAGAUGGCUUCUUUCGACUGAUUGCCGUGGUUGCCUUCUAGAAGCUUUAGCCUCGAUGUCAUCCACAAUCCUCUUGAUAUUCACGGGGAGGUGAUCUCUGAGUUCCUCACGAUGAGUUUGGAUCAGGUCUUUGUCAGCCUGAGUGAGCGGUUCAUCGGAGUGGAGGAUCUCAAUGGCUCGUUCAAGAUCACGGCUGAGUCGGUUUGGCUACGAGAAGAAUUGAUGAUCAAUUGACAGAGGGAUUGGUCGAGAGAUAGGAGAUUGACUUCGUACCUGAUUGACAGAGGAGGAGGAGGCCAUCUUGGUCGCUCGAUCGAAGAUUUGUAAGCGCGCGCAAGGAAUGGUUGAGUGGGUGUUUUGCGAAUGCCUUCAGAAGGGAUGCGAAGGGUUUGUACUUAUAGAACAGAAUGGCAAUGGACAAAGGUCGGUAAAAGGAGGGCAUUUAAAGAAAGCGACCGUUGAGUCAUAAAAGCUACGUGAGGACUGUUCAGACUUGCAUUUCAGACAAAAACGCCAAAAGUAUCAACGUUACACAAGAUGUUCAAAGGCUGGUUGAGUUCGUUACAACUAUCCGAGGAGAUUGUUUAUGGUCUCAAUCGCUCGCAGGCGAACUUGGUUGGCCACCUCCAACACUCGCCGAUCAUCAUCGGCUGAUCCUAAGACUUCUGGCGCAUUGCGAUGAAGAUGGAUGGCCUCGUGAGUGAGGGAUUGUCUUUCUUGUUUAAAAUCAACGAUGGCGGUUGGAAGAUCUUCAAGUUUCUUUUCUUCGGUAGCGAUAGCCUUUACGACCAGUUCCAUCUCCUUGGUGAGCUCUGCUCUGCGCCAUUUGAGUUGGUCUAUUUCACUGAUGAUGCUUGGAUGAGAAGUCUCAUGGAGACCGAUCUACCGAUGUACGUGUUGUGCACGGUGCUUGUAGGACUCUUCUUCUUGACGCACCAUCUCCAAUUUAGCACGGUCAGCCAUGUGUCGCAAGGCUCUAAACACCGGGACCCGCAUGGUUUCGAUAUAUGCUGCGGGUGUGAGAACCUCUUCUGCGUCUUCUGGGACUUGGCCUUUGAUCUCGUUGAAAAUCCACCGUAUCAGUUUGGCAUCUUCCACCAAUCGACCGAUGUUUUCCUGAAGAAGGGUUCGCAUGUUUUGGAGCUUGGCACGGACAUCUUCUGGUAUUGAGCUCAGAGUUAUUUGGCGUGAUGCAACUUCUUCGUCAUCAGAGACCGCAAUUGCAGAGGAGAAGAGGCUUUUGUUUGGCGUGUCUUACUCCUGCAGGGAUGUGGGAAAGUGUUUUAGCCGAUAAAAGUAAAAAAUCGGCUGGUAGAUAUAGAAGGUUCUUACCUCCUUCAAACAAAUCUCUUCUGCUUGGGUUGGCAGAGUCGUUACUCCCACCUCAGAAGUUUGCGGAGGUAGCUCAUUAGAGGGGGAAGACUUGACAAUGAUCGGCUCUCUAGGCGUAGCUGAUAAUGUGCUUGGACCAGCCUCCUGGAAAAGGAACAAAGGAAUCAUUUUUGAGUAUAAAAUAAUACUGGAUCUAAGUAGAAGUCUCGGUUUUCUUACCUCUCGGACGCGCGCAGCCAACGGUAGCACCAGGGGAAUGACUGACGUAUCUGGAGCGUCCUGUGUCAAGAAUCGUCUGAUUUUAGUUAUCAGAACUGUGGAGACUAAGGGAAGAGCAUGUUCUUUACCUCAAUUUGAAGAUUUGUAGGUAACACAAUUUUAGCUUGAGAAUCGGCCAAUUAAGGAACAGUCUGCUCUAGGAUAGGUUGUACGGCCUGUUGAAAAGAAACAAAUUUAGUAUUGGUGAUACAUAUGAAGAAGUCAGAGCAGAAAGAUUACUCGUGUAGCUUUCACCAAGAGUAACACAAUCGCCGACCCAGCCUCUGAUGCUGCUAGGGGAUCAAUGUCCUGAAUUGCCGACAAUACAUCUGCUUGGAUUGGUGCGGCUGAGGGCUCGACCGAUGUUGCUGCCGAUUGGUGGGUUGUUCGAGUUGUCGUAGAUUCAGUACGAGCUCAUACCCUGCGACUCGUCUUCUUUGUGGUGGAUAUUUUGAGCUUAUGCUUCAAUCGGUUGGUGGCUAUGUCCUCCAUUGAUGGGGCGUGAUAGCCGAUGAGAGGGUACGGUGUGUACGGAUGAUGGGUCUGUAUCAGUCUGCCACUCUAACUGUGCGUUGGAGGCACUUGGCUAUCAACCUGUGCAGGGUAAAAGGAUAAUGAUAAGAAAGUUCUGCAACAUGUGAAAAUUAUUGGUAAGGAAUCGACAAAAAAGUAUUGUUACCUCUGCAUUCGGAUCAGUGUGAGCGGGGUCCAGUUGAUUGCAAUACACUGCAGGGGCCGCACAGGAAAGGUACUGUUUCCACUCGGCCCACCACAAUUUGAAUUGUUGAGUGGAGAAGGGGACCACCAGCCAAGCGCUCAGAUCGAUGGUGUCGGAAUCCGGUGUCAGAUUACACAAUCUGUUGUAUUCCAGUCCUUUUGAAAUCGGUUCUCAAAAUUUCACUCGGCCGACGAAGUGAAUCCGAUUGGUAUUUGUCCCAAGCCAAAUUGCCGAGCUGCUACCGACGGGUUAUAGAACUCAUAUGUUGGAGAGUCCUUGCCAGAGAAGAAAUUUGCCGGUAGAAUCCCAGGUUGAUCAGGGUGUCCAUGAUUCCUUCAUCGAAGGUAUCGGUAGCCUAGUCAAAACAGUCAGGAUUCUAAAAAGUUGGGUUCUCUCUCUGAUAUGGAUACCAAUUCGUCACCUCUUCUUUAAAGCUGUUGUAAAAGCAUCUAAAGUGCUCGGCUAUUCUUGAGGGGGCAAGCUUGCCGCCUGGGAAAGUGGAUACGGCUUCACUAAAGGAAGUACAGCGGCGUCUGGCCAAUGGGUCGGUUUCUGAUUUAACAUUAGGAAAGUCUUGGUCUCAAUCCGCUCCUUGAAGAUUUCGCUCAUAUAUAAGUUGAGCUAGAGAUUGACAAACCACCAAGGACCACCAGGAUUCCUGAUAGGUUCUCCAGAUGAUAGCUUCACGCCGAUGUGAUGCAGCAUGUAAUACACUGACCCUAGUAGAUGCUUUCCCAAAGGGACUGUGGCUCCUCUAACUAGUGCUUCGGCCAAAGCCUGUGUGUUGGAAGUAGGACUGGCUAAUUUACCACAGAAGACAUACCUUUCCUGCCACAUCAUCAAGAAGGUCGUGUGCUCUUUUUCUGUGUUGGGUCCGGUCCUCAUGUUCUUCUCAAUGUAGCCUUUCCAUGUGCUGAUGGCUUUCGUCUCCAGCCGAUGGGUGGGUUUGAUUAAGAAAUCGAAAGGUGAGUCGGUGGAGGAAACAUCGAGGCCAGUCAGCAUCAGAACAUCGGCCAGGGUUGGAGUCAUUGGCCCAUGGUCGAAAAGAAAUGCAUUGAGAGCAUCGGACCAAAAGUAAGAUGCCGCGAUGAGCAGAGAUUCUUUCUUUUCCAUAUGAGAUAGAGAUAAAUUUCUGCAAUGGCCGAUUUUUCGCUCAUCCCAGAAGACUCUGUUGGAAUUUGACAUUCUAAAAAACCAAUCUCUCCAUCCGGGGGUUUGAUUCGGCCAAGACUUGAAAGUGUUCGCCCAAUUGUCUAGUUCCAUGGUCGAUUGCUUAAAAGGGAUCCUGUGAGUUUCUAGUUUAAUCAGAUCGGUUGGGUUAGGAUCUCCCAUAGAGCCAAGAUCGAUGAAUCCAGGGGUGUUGGCCAUGGGAUGGUGAUUCUUUGCCUGAGUUCUUGAGCAAAUGCGAAGAAAGACUAAGAACAGAUCUAAAAUCGCGAAAAGAUGAGGAGAGCCUAGAAGACUUACCUCAGGAACGAAGGUCAUGGUAGCUAUGGGUGCCACCAUUGGAGCUUGGGAGUUGGUGCGGUCGGUGAAGGACGUGAGCAAGUCACUGGAGUGCGCUGGGAUGUGCCUAGAAGUGGCACGAGCAAGGUCGCUGGGGUGUGCCGGGAGAUGAUUCGCUGGAAAGGAAACCCUUUUCGCCCGGAGGAAGAUGAAGCGGCGGAAGAGAUGAGUAUCUGCACGAUGACUCGGGAGAAGGGUAAAUAUGAAAUUUUUACCACGCCGUCUGCGCUAAUUUCGAAAGGAGCGGUUGCCUACAGGUGCUCAGUUCGAAAAAAUGCAAUCAUCAAGGAGAAGAUUUCGGGAGCAAAGAGGGUUUUGCUGCAUUUAUUGUUGCGUCUUUUCUGAAAGAAGGAAUCAGAGUUGAGAAAAUUUCGGAGAAAAAGAUAUGUUUCACUAUGAAGCUGGGAGGCAUGUGUUGAUGCCAGUUUUUAACACGUGUCAGGGUCGGUGUCAAGAGGAGAAGAAAGUGGCCAAUGCGGUUAAACAAGAGGCCAUGGCUAGAGAAAUCGGUCAGUAAAGCUAUAGUGUUCUGACCGAUUAGCUGAUGAGAUAGAUGAAGACUCACCGAUUGGAAGCCAGAACGCUGGAUUUUGACACGUACUUGAAAUCGGUGUCAAAGAAGGAGAAAGGGGGGCCGAUGCGGCGGACUAGAAGCUACAGUUGGGAAUCGGCCGAUUGAAGCUACAAUGUUUCAGCCGAUUGGCGGAAGAAAUUGGUGGAGGCUGGCCGAUUGGGAGUCAAAGCAGUUUGGCCGGUUUGGGCCUAAGGUGGGCCAGGAUGAAUAUUUGCUGAAGAGACAGGCCCGUGGGAAAAUAAUAACCAACUCGAAUACGAGUCGUGUUUGUAACUAUUUGUUGUCGUUUGAAAUUAGAGAUAGAUUCUAGUCGGUUAGGAAAUCAGUUCCAACACGCUAUAACUAGCUACCUCGAGAGGCUUGUAAAAAAAACAACACAUCAAUCAAUACAAAAAAAAUUACUCUUUCCUCGUACUUUACUUUCAAGUCGGCGACUUCGCCAAAACCUUUUUCUUUCACGAGUUCGUACGGAUUGGCAGGGCUGGAUCUACAGGAUCUCCGGCCGAUUCUGUAAGUUCCACUUAUCGAGUAAUACUAAGCUUUAACUUCGGGCGCAUCGCUGUUAUUUUGUUUAGAUUUAUUCACCAGUUAUCGAUAUCAACUAGAGUCAUAGGUUUUACCUGUUAUUUUAGUUUUUAUCACCAAUUAUCCAUCUUGAGGUACGAACUGUCGGUUUUUAUUAUUCUUAUCCUUUAUCAUCACAUAGCCGAUUAGAUCUACUCCAAGUUUUGCUUCUGUAGUGUUGUUUAGGUUGCUGUAAAAGUUUUCCUUAUGAUUGCUACAUGAGUAUCGGCUGUCUUAUAGCCGGUCAUCUCUACGGUAAAUCGGCCGAUUCGCUGAUACGCUCUUCAAGACAGAUCGGAACUCUAGCCGAUCGAAACCCCUAGAAUUUAAUAUUCUUCUUUCCAUGUCAAUCAUUAGGUCAGAUUGACUGGCAUGCCGCGCGAACCGCACUAGGGCAAUAACUCGAACAGGAGCUAAGUAGAUUCUCCUGGGUCGUGUGUCCGACGCUGAGGGUCAUCGGCCAAUUUUCAGCACCAACACACUUUUGGCAUGCCCGGUGGGACCAAACAAGAUCCAACAUGUCGAAGGCUGCUGAGAUCUUUGAAGAUAACGUCCUUGAAGUCAUUGAAGAAAAUCUCAAGGACGAUCAGAAGGAGGAACUGGCGAGGGCUAUAGAAGAAUACAGGAAGACAUGCCUGCAAUCUUUCAUUCGUACCAGAAGCGGGGAGACAGUCAAGAAAGCUCCUCUCUCCACUUCCCGCCAAAUCACCGUCAUCGAGGACUCAGGGAAGAUGUCUGAGAUGAUUCAACAGUCCGUUUAUCAGGCUAUGAUUGACCAAUCCACGGUGAUGACCAACACUGUAUACAACGCCAUCAUCAGCUCCUUGGUUAGCGGCGUAGCUCAGGGGUAUCAGGGACUAGCGUAUGCUCCUCCCAUCGUGGCACCGAUCAGAGGCUUCUUAGCAGCGCCAAACGUGUGUCACUCGACUCCUCAACUAAUGCAGAUGCAACGUGGAGGGUACUACACUUCAAUGCCCCUGGGGUACAAUGGUGCAUCAUUCUAUCAAUCGCAAGAACCGUCUCAUCCUAUGCCAAUUUCAUCCAUACAAUCGCCGCUCUCAAACUCGGCGCCAUGGGGGGUAGCAGCAGCAACCGCCGGUCUGGAUCCGUCAACCAGUUAUGGAAAGUCUCCAGUCCAGGCGUUAUUCCAAUCGGCCGAGGCCGAUAGCCCCGCAAUACCAAACAACCACUUCAGAUAUCGGCAGGAGGACAGGCGCUCUAGAAACACUCAGGGUUGCGGCGUCGAUAAUAUUGUACGAUGAAGUGACAGAUACACUAUGUCAGCAGCCAUCGGCUACUCAGCCGACAACCCAGCCACAAUAUCUGCAGAACACUCCAGUUUAUCACCCGAUCAUGGAACCGCAAAUCCAACAGCACGUACCGAUUCCUCAGCCGGUCGUGCAUCAGCAGCAGGUUGAUUGGACCGCGAAGAUAGCAGAGGUAAUUCAAGAUCAGUUUGUGUUAAAAGCAAAAGUACAAACUUACAUGUACAAGACGCCAUACCCACUUGCCUACGAUCUGUUACCGUUCCCUCAUCGGUACAAAGUCCUUGACUUCACCAAGUUCUCGGGCCUAGACGACACGUUGACUGUCGAGCACGUUAAUAGGUUCAUCAUCCAGUGCAGGGAGGCUGCUACGCAAGAUGCUUUGAUGGUGCGCUUGUUCUCGUCAUCCCUAUCCGGAUCAGCCUUGCAGUGGUUCACUACACUGCCGCCCAACGCCAUCGUUACCUUGGCCGAUUUGGAAAAGCAAUUCCAUAAGUACUUCUAUGCGGGAAUCCACGAGAUGAAACUCUCAGACCUAACUAGCCUCAAGCAAAGAAGCGAUGAGUCGAUGGCCAGCUACAUACAGAGGUUUAGGAAAGUUAGGAACAAGUGCUACACCUUGGUCUGGACUGACACCCAACUAGCCGAUAUCACCUUCCAAGGACUCCUGCCACACAUCAAAGAGAAGUACGCCUCCCAGGAGUUCGAAAGCUUGAGCCAAAUCGUCCAUCGGCUGUCCGGCCAAGAGAUACACCCUUUCGACCAACGAAGGAACUUUCAAAAGAAGGUAGCUUAUGUGGAAGGGUCUGAAUCGGGAGAGAAGGCGGAAAUCGGCCUAGCAGAGUCGGUAAAAGGAAAAAAGCCGAUAUCAUGCCCGUUUGGAAAAAAGGAACCAGAAACAUUCGGCUUUGACACGUCAAAAGCCGACAAAGUCUUCGACUUGCUGCUUCAAGAGGGGCAGAUCAAACUUUCGCCUUACCACACCAUUCCGUCGGCCAAGCAGCUCAAAAAGAUGAAAUACUGCAAAUGGCACAAUACCACAUCCCAAGACAAAAAUGAGUGCAAGAUCUUCCGACAAUAGAUACAAUUAGCCAUUGAGCAAGGAAGACUCAAGUUCGAGGUUCCAGCAAAACCAGUGAAGCCGAUGAAGAUUGAUCAACAUCCCUUCCCCGCCAACAUGGUCAAUGUAGGAAGAAACGCACUCCAAACCAAAGUUUUGAUGUUAGAAUUGGCCAGGAGAAGCGGUGCAGUGGAUCCCAAAAAUCAGGCCACGAUCGGAGAUGUCAAAGGAAAAGGACGGAUGGAAGAAGAAGGUGAAGGAUCAGAAAGGCCACGUCGGCCUGUCACUUCCCAAGACUUACUCAGCAAGUAUCAGCAGCAGCGGGAAGAUUCAAGACGCCACGAAGAGAUGAUGCGCCGACACGAAGAUCACUGGAGGUGCCCGUUUUUCAUCCACUGCUGGGAGAAUAACCUUAGAUUACCGUCGGCUGAUAAUUGCCCUGAGUGCAACGGCCAGUAUCGCAGUGGUCGUCCGUUCAAUAGAUCACGCUCCAAGGAUCGAGGGCUAGAGCCAAUCAGCAGAAAGAGGCACGAGCAAGGAGAUCGGCGCGUUUCAGUGCGUGAUCGGCUGGGGGGUAGAGUUGACCAGCAUAAUCGGCUGGGGGGCAGAACCAGCGCACAUGAUCGGCUGGGGGGUAGAACCAGCGCACAUGAUCGGCUGGAAGAGAUAGCUGACGCCAAAGUCUCAGAUGAGAACCUCCUAGGGUGAGAAUCAGGCUGGGAGCGUGCAAAGCCGCCGAGUAAACCAGUAAACCCCAGAUGGUGCCCAGCCGGUUUGACUAAGUCCUUGAAACGGAGGGUCCAGCGUUUGCACCAAUGGGAGCAGCAAGAAGAAAAACAAAGGUAGGUGAUGGAUAACAAAGGGGACAGGUCUCGAGUAUGGCGUCCUAGAAGAAAAUCCGACGCAGGAGACUAAAAUCAUGAUUCGACAGCUGACUUCAGCAUGAUGUUCAUCUUGCCGAUGGAGUUCAUGCCUCCCGCCGACCGGGACAAUGCGAUAGAGAUAGAGGAGCAAAUGGCACAAUUGGCUCUGGAGCCAAUGACCGCCACUUUUGAGAAACCCGAGGAUUAAAAACGCCAACAUCUCAAGGCCCUGUUCCUCAAAGGACAUGUCAACGGACGACCAGUCACCAAGCUGUUGGUAGAUGGAGGCGCUGCUGUGAACAUCAUGCCCUAUGCUAUGUUCCGCAAAUUGGGCAAAGGUAAAGAAGAUCUAACAAAGACGGAUAUAAUGCUCAAGGAUUUCGAAGGCAACGUAUCUCCGGCCCGAGGGGCACUCUGCGUCGACCUCACCAUCGGGAGUAAGGCCCUACCCACUAUUUUCUUUGUUAUUAAUGGCAAAGGCUCCUACAACAUGUUGCUCGAGCGAGAUUGGAUCCACGCAAACUGCUGCAUCCUGUCUACGAUGCACCAAUGCCUUGUCCAAUGUGUCGGCGACAACAUCGAAGUAGUCAUCGCCGAUUCCACCUAUAGCGUUGCCACGGCCGACGCACAACAGUGGAGCUACGAUCACGUCAAAUUCAAAUAUGGUAGGGUUUGGGACACCAAUUUCCUAAAGGUGUCCGAUUUCGGUCUACAGCCAAUCCAAGCAGUCAGCUCUAAAGAAUCAAGUUAAAAUGGAUCAGUUCAUCUGAGAAGAUGGGAAGCUCGGGCACGGGUUUACGUCGGCCGAUUCAUUGGAGAUGGUGGACCUUGGAGAUGGCAACAAGCCAAAGCCGACGUAUAUUCGUGCUAGGUUAGAACCCGAGUAUAAGCAUGAAUUAAUGAGUCUUUUACGAGAAUUUAAAGAUUGCUUUGCUUGGGAGUAUCAUGAGAUGCCUGGUCUAGACCGGUCCAUCGUCGAACACCGGUUGCCUAUAAAACCAGGGCAUUGGCCGCAUCAGCAACCUGCACGACGUUGUAAUCCUAAAAUUUUACCUGAUAUAAAGGCCGAGAUUACAAGAUUAAUUGAAGCAGGGUUUAUUCGGCAAUGUCGCUAUGCCGAGUGGAUUUCCAAUAUUGUGCCCGUAUACAAGAAAAAUGGAAAGUUACGUGUGUGCAUUGACUUCAGGAAUGUUAAUCAGGCUAUGUCGAUGGAUGGAUAUCCGAUGCCGAUGGCUGAUGUUUUAAUAGACGCCACCGCAGGACACAAAGUCAUCACCUUCAUGGAUGGUAAUGCUGGGUACAAUCAGAUAUUAAUAGUCGAAUAAGAUAUUUCAAAGACGGCUUUCAGAUGCCCAGGCCACCUCGGUUUGUUCGAGUGGGUAGUAAUGAGUUUCGGUUUAAAAAAUGCUGGAGCUACGUACCAACGGGCUAUGAAUUAUAUAUUCCACAAGCUUAUUUGUGUCCUGGUGGAGAUCUACAUUGACGAUGUCGUGGUCAAAUCAAAAGGGUAUCAGGAACACCUGGCCGAUUUGCGAAAAGUGUUGGAAUGCACAAGAAAGCAUGGGUUGAAGAUGAAUCCAAACAAAGUGUGCCUUCGGCGUUUCGGCUGGACAGUUUCUGGGAUUCAUGAUUCACGAGCGAGGCAUCGAGAUCAAGCGAAAAAUUAUAGUUGCUAUCAACAAAGUCGUGGGCCCCCAGAAUAAGACUGAGCUACAGUACUUAAUCAGCAAGGUUAACUUCAUCCGACGGUUCAUAUCUAACUUGUUCGGGCGUAUUCAAGCUUUCACCCCUUUGUUGAAAUUAAAACCCGAUCAAGAAUUUGUAUAGGGUAAGGAAUAGCAGAAAACAUUAGAUGGCAUCAAACAAUACCUAGUCUCGCCACCAGUAUUGGUUCCGCCGCAGGCCAACAAGCCAUUCAAAUUAUACCUAUUGGCUGAUGAACGAGCUAUUGGGUUGGCGCUGGUCCAGGAAUGUGAAGGAAAAUAAAGAGUAAUCUAUUAUGUCAACAGAAGACUCCUGAACGUUGAAACUAGAUAUCCUCCGGUGGAACGGCUGUGCCUUUGUCUAUAUUUUUCAUGCACCAAACUCAGGCACUAUCUGUUAUCGGCAGAGUGCAUAGUCGUUUGCAAAGAUGAUGUGGUCAAGUACAUGUUGUCAUUGCCGAUUUUGAAAGGGAGGAUUGGAAAGUGGAUUCUAGCUCUCUCAGAGUUCGACCUGAGGUACGAAUCGGCCAAAGCUGUCAAGGGGCAAGUAAUGGCCGAUUUCGUGAUCCAGCACUGUGGACCAGAAAUUACUGUCGAACCAGCUCCGUGGACACUAUACUUUGAUGGGUCUGCGUGUGGGGCCGGAUCGGGAAUCGGCAUCAUCCUCAUAUCGUCUCGAGGGGCAAGUUAUGAUUUCUCUCUGCCGUUUGAGGCGUCCGCUACUAAUAAUCAAGCGGAGUAUCGGGUUGUUCUAAAAGGUAUCCAAUUAUUAAGAGAGGUCAAAGCUGACGUGAUGGAAAUUUUUGAGGAUUCCAUGCUCAUUGUAGAUCAAUUAACUGGAAAGUCUGAAUGCAAGGAUGAUAUCUUGAGGAUUUACUACGAAGAUUGCCUCAAGUUAUUGAAGGAGUUCAAGUCUUUGAUUAUUGAGCAUAUUCCCAGGAAUUACAACGAAGAAGCCAAUAGACUUGCCCAACAUCCUUCCGGGUAUCGGCUGUGUUGACGCCAGAUUUUGACACGAGUAAAAUCGGCGUUAGAAGUGGAAGAAAUUAGGAGAUGCGGCGAGAUACAAGGGCAACGAUUGGAAAUCGGCCGAUUGGUGCUACAGUCAAGGAUCGGUUGGUUGGUGCUGCAGUCAAGGAUCGGCCAAUAGAUGCUACAGACGAGGAUCGGCCGAUUGAUCCUUAGAGUUCCGCCUCGCACGACCCCUGGUUUGGGAUCGGACACGCCCGACCCUCCAAGGGAGGAUCUCCGCCUCGCCCGACCCCUGGUUUGGGAUCGGACGCGCCCGACCCUCCAAGGGAGGAUCUCCGCCUCGCCCGACCCCUGAGGUUUGGGAUCGAACGCGCCCGACCCUCCAAAGGAGGAUCUCCGCCUCGUCCGACCUUAGUUCCCAGGGUCGAAAUGAGUCUGAGCCCUCGAUAUGUGGGUCCUGAUCGGUUACCCCCCUUGCCAAAGAGGUGAUCGGCCGAUUAGGAGGUUGGAAUAGUUGGGCCGAUGUGGGCUCAAGAAGGAUUAUGAAGAUGAAGAGGGGGUCAGCCCAUGAAGCGCGUGAAAAUAGUACGAAUCGUACUUGUAAAUAUUCGUUUUCUGUUUAAAUUUAGGGAUAGAGUUCUAGUCGGAUAAGAAGUCGUUUGUACGGGGCUAUAAAUAGCCACCGUUGUAGAUCUGUAAUCAUCAUCAACUCAAUACAACAAACUACUAUUUCCUCGUACUUACUUUCAAGCAGGCGACUUUACCAACACUUUUUCUCCUUUUUCACGAGUUCGUACGGGUUGGCGGGGCUGCAUCAACUUGACCUCCGGCCGAUCUUGUAAGUUCCGUUUAUCGACUAAAUUCUAAGCUUUAACUUCGGGCGCAUCGCUGUCAUUUCGUUUAGAUUUAUUCAUCAGUUAUCGAUAUUUACUAGAAUUCUAGGUUUUACCUGUUGUUCUAGUUUUAUCACCAAUUAUCCAGCUAGGAAUCGGUAAAUUCGGCUUUCUUUAUACUUCUCUGUCUAAUCUAUUUAUUUUAGCCGAUUAGAUCUGUUCCUAGUGUUGCUACUGUAGCGUUGUUUAGAUUACUCUAGCAGUUUUCUUUAUAAACGUUACCUGGUAAUCGGUUGCACUAUAGCCGAUUUCCUUAUUACGGCAAAUCGGCCGAUUCGCUGAUAAGCUUUCUUGAGAUCGGAACCUUAGCUGAUCGCAACCUCUGGGAACUGACACGUUUAUUUCCUUGCCAAUCAACAGUUCAGAUUGGCUGGCUCGCCGCGCGAACCGUACCAGGGCAAUCACCCGAACAGGAGUUAAGCAGAUUCUCCCGGGUCGUGUGUCCGACGCUGGGAAUUCGGUCAGCUGAUUUCUAGUGCCAACACACUUUUGGCACGCCUAGUGGGGCCAAUACAACCGCCACCAUGUCGAAAGCUGCUGAAGUCUCCGAAGAUAACAUCAUCGAAGUGACAGAGGCAGAUCUCAGGGACGACCAGAAGGAAGAACUAGAGAGGCAGACAGCAUACUACCGGAAGACAUGUCUGCAGUCCUUCAGUCGCACCAGGAGCGAGGAGACUAUCAAAAAGGCUCCGUUUCCAACUCCCCGCCAGAUCACAAUCACCGAGGAUUCGGACAAGAUGUCCGAGAUGGUCCAGCAAUCCGUCUAUCAAGCUUUCAUUGAUCAAUCCCCGGUGCUUUCUAAUACGGUAUACAAUGCCGUCAUCAGCUCCUUGGCUAGUGGUGUAUCUCAAGGGUACCAGGGGCCGGCAUAUGUUCCGCUGAUUAUGGCUCCGAGCAAUGCGGCGACAUGAAGAUCACUGGCGAUGCCCGUUCUUCAUCCACUGUUGGGAAAGCAACCUUAGGUUGCCUUCGGCCGAUAAUUGCCCCGAGUGCAACGGCCCGUAUCGUAACAAUCGGCCGUUCAGCAGGUCUCGCUCCAGAGAUGGGAGAUCAGAGCCGAUCAGCAGGAACUGGCGCGACCAAGACAACCGGCGCCCUCCAGUACGUGAUCGGCUGGGGGGCAGAAGUGACCGGUAUGACCGGUCGGAAGGCAGGCGCAAUGAUGGGCCGGGGGCAGAUUUAAUCGACGUGACCGGCCAGAAAAUAGAGUCAGCGUCCACAGACGACUUGAAUAGAUGGCCGAUGCUCGGGUGUUAGAUGAGAACCCUUUAGGACGCGAACUAGAAUGGGAACGCGCCAGGCCACGAACCAAACCGGUGAACCCCAGGUGGUGCCCCGAUGGAUUGACCAAGUCUCAAAAACGAAGAAUCCAACGUCUCCGCCAGUGGGAACAGCAGGAAGAAGAGCAACAGUACACGACGGACGAGAAGAAAGGCAGGUCUUAGGUAUGGCGCCCCAAAAGAAACGACAGAGGAGGCGACAAAUCAGCAGGCGAUGAAUCGGCAGCCGAUAUCGACAUGGUCUUCAUACUGCCGAUGGAAUUCAUGACUCCUGCCGACCAACAGGACAUGUCAGCAAUAGAAGAGUAGAUGGCGCAAUUGGCUUUGGAGCCAAUGACAGCCACAUUCGAGAAGCCCGAAGAAGACAAACGGCAACACCUGAAAGCGUUGUUUCUUAAAGGGCAUGUCAACGGCCGACCCAUCACCAGAUUACUGGUAGACAGAGGGGCUGCAGUCAACAUCAUGCCGUACGCCAUGUUCCGGAAGCUAGGGAAGAGCAAUGAUGACCUGACCAAGACAGACAUGAUGCUCAAGGACUUCGAGGGCAACGUAUCCCCCGCUCACGGCGCUCUCUGCGUCGACCUCACCAUCGGCAGUAAGACCCUUCCUACUACUUUCUUUAUUAUUAAUGGCAAGGGGUCCUACAACAUGCUACUCGGCCGAGACUGGAUACAUGCAAAUUGCUGUAUCCCAUCUACAAUGCAUCAAUGCCUCGUAUAGUGGGUCGGCGACAACAUUGAGGUGGUCACCGCCGAUUCCGCAUACAGCAUCGCGGCAGCCGACACGCAACAGUGGAGCUGCGAAACCGUCAAGUGCAUAUCCGGGAGAGUAUGGGAUACUGACUUCUUGAAGGUGUCCGAUUUUGGCCUACAGCCGAUCCGAGCAGUCGGCUCUGAGGACUCAGAUUAAAUGGAUCAGUUCACCCGAGAAGAUGGGAAGCUGGGACAUGGGUUCACGUCGGCCGAUUCAUUAGAAAUGAUAGACUUAGGCGAUGGCACCAUACCAAGGCCGACAUAUAUUAGUGCAAAUUUAGAUCCGGAAUACAAAUGUAAACUGACAAGUUUGUUAAGAGAACUUAAGGAUUGCUUUGCUUGGGAAUAUCAUGAGAUGCCCGGAUUAGACCGAUCUAUCGUUGAACAUCGGUUACCCAUAAAGCCAGGGUAUCGGCCGUAUCAACAGCCUGCACGGCGGUGCAAUCCUAAAAUCCUACCGGACAUAAAGGCCAAAAUAACGCGGCUAAUCAAAGCAAAAUUUAUUCGGCAAUGCCGUUAUGCCGAAUGGAUCUCCAACAUUGUACCAGUAUAUAAGAAGAACGGAAAGUUACGCGUAUGCGUCGAUUUCAGGAACCUCAAUCAGGCCACACCAAUGGACGGAUACCCCAUGCCGACGGCUGAUGUACUGAUAGAUGCCGCCGCGGGACACAAGGUUAUUAGUUUCAUGGAUGGAAACGCUGGGUACAAUCAGAUACUUAUGGCCGAAGAAGACAUAUCUAAAACGGCCUUCAGAUGCCCGGGUCACCUUGGUUUAUUCGAGUGGGUGGUAAUGACUUUCGGCUUGAAAAAUGUCGGCGCUACGUAUCAGAGAGUCAUGAACUACAUAUUCCACAAACUUAUCGGCAUACUAGUAGAAAUCUACAUCGACGACGUCGUAGUCAAGUCAAAAGGACACCAGGAGCAUCUGGCCGAUUUACGACAGGUGUUGGAAUGCACUAAGAAACAUGGGCUGAAGAUGAACCCGAAUAAGUGUGCCUUCGGCGUAUCCGCCGGACAAUUCUUAGGAUUCAUGGUGCACGAGCGGGGAAUAGAAAUCAAUCAGAAGACUAUAGCGGCCAUCAACAAAAUUGUGGCCCCGCAGAAUAAAACUGAGCUGCAAUCUCUAAUCGACAAGAUGAAUUUCAUCAGGAGGUUCAUAUCUAAUUUGUCUGGGCGAAUCCAAGCCUUCACACCAUUAUUAAAGUUGAAGCCCGACCAGGAGUUCGUAUGGGGGGAAGAGCAACGCAAGGCAUUGGAAGAUAUCAAGCAGUACUUGGUCUCACCACCGGUAUUGGUCCCUCCUCAAACUGGUAAGCCGUUUAAACUAUAUUUAUCAGCCGAUGAACGAGCUAUUGGGUCGGCUCUGGUCCAGGAGUUCGAGGGAAAGGAACGAGUAAUUUAUUAUGUCAGUAGAAGACUUCUGGACGCCGAAACAAGGUAUCCUCCAGUGGAGCGGUUGUGCCUAUGCCUUUACUUCUCAUGUACCAAACUCAGGCACUAUUUGCUAUCAGCGGAAUGUGUGGUCGUAUGCAAGGACGACGUGGUAAAAUACAUGCUGUCACUGCCGAUUUUGAAAGGAUGGAUCGAAAAAUGGAUCUUGGCUUUGUCGGAGUUUGACCUUCGAUAUGAAUCGGCAAAAGCCGUUAAGGGUCAGGUCAUGGCCGAUUUCGUUGCCCAGCACUGCGGGCCAGAGGCUACCUUCGUAGAACCAGUACCUUGGACCUUAUACUUUGAUGGAUCGUCAUGUGGGGCCGGAUCAGGAAUCGGCAUCGUCCUCAUAUCGCCUCGGGGGGCAAGCUAUGAUUUCUCUCUACCGAUAGAAGCAUCCACCACUAACAAUCAAGCAGAGUACUGAGCUGUACUGAAGGGAUUACAAUUGCUAAGGGAAGUCAAAGCUGAUUCCGUCGAAAUUUUUGGGGAUUCCAUGCUUAUCGUGGAUCAGUUAACAGGGAAAUCCGAGUGCAAGGACGAUGUAUUGAGGAUUUAUUACGAAGAUUGCCUCCUGCUUCUGAAAGAAUUCAAGUCGGCAGUUAUCGAGCACAUCCCAAGGAAUCACAACGAGGAUGCCAACAAGCUCGCCCAACACGCAUCUGGGUAUCGGCCGAUUCAAGGCGCCUUGGCUCUAGAGCUCGCGGCCAAUGACUGGCGAAAGGAGAUUGCCGAUUACCUGAAAGAUCCGUCUAAGAAAGUGGAUCGGCGGGUAUGUUUUCAUGCUACCAAAUAUGUGCUACUGGAAGACGACUUGUUCUACCGAACAAUUGAUGGCGUCCUACUCAAGUGUCUAGGAACGGAGGAGGCUAAGACUCUGAUGGGAGAAAUCCAUGAAGGAGUGUGUGGAGCCCACCAAUCGGCACAUAAGAUGAAAUGGAUGAUUAGGAAUAAUGGGUAUUACUGGCCGACGAUCCUCGAAGAUUGCUUCAAAUAUUAUAAAGGAUGUCAGGAUUGUCAGAAAUUCGGGAAUGUCCAACGUGCGCCCGCAUCGGCCAUGAAUCCCAUUAUCAAACCAUGGCCGUUCAGAGGUUGGGGGAUAGACCUCAUCGGCCAAAUUUAUCCUCCGUCAAGCAAAGGGCACAAGUUCAUUCUGGUGGCCACUGAUUAUUUCACCAAGUGGGUGGAGGCAAUUCCGUUAAGGGCCGUGACAUCGGCUGCUAUGGUUGACUUCGUAAGAGACCAUAUCGUCUACCGUUUCGGCAUCCCCCAGACUAUCACGACCGAUCAAGGGACAAUGUUUACAUCAGGAGAAUUCGAGGAGUUCACAGCCGACAUGGGAAUCAAAUUAUUAAACUCCUCUCCGUAUUAUGCCCAAGCUAAUGGCCAGGUCGAAUCUUCCAACAAGGGGAUAAUUAAGUUAAUCAAGAGGAAGAUAGAGGAGCAGCCGAAAAAGUGGCAUCUAUGUCUGACUGAAGCUCUAUGGGCAUACAGGAUGGCUUGCCAUGGGGCCACUAAGAUGUCCCCUUAUCAGUUGGUGUACGGUCACGAGGCAGUACUACCAUGGGAGUUGAGGGCAGGAUCGAGACGCACUUCGCUCCAGGACCAGUUAGCGGCCGACGACUACUCCUCACUCAUGAAAAGGGAACUUGAUGACUUGGCUGGCCAACGAUUGAGAGCUUUGAUAAGCAUCAAAGAAAACAAGAAGAAAGUGGCCAGGUGGUAUGAUAAGAAAGUCAAAGUCAAACAAUUCUCUCCGGGGGACCUGGUAUGGAAGUUAGUGUUGCCGAUCGGGUCGAAAGAUCCUAAAUUCGGUAAGUGGUCCCCUACGUGGGAAGAGCCGUAUAAAAUCGGCAGAUGUGCUCCAGGAAACGCUUAUAUUCUGGAAACAAUCGAAGGAGAGAAGAGUUUACUAGGGCUUUGAACGGAAGAUACUUGAAAAGGUACUACCCUAGUAUAUGGGUCGGAGCAUAAGGAUCGACCAUGAUGAACAACACACAGCCAAUACAAAAGGAUUCGUCUAGAGAAAAAAACGUAAUCGUCCAAAUCGGCCGAUGUAUUUCAUUCGGUACGGACGGUGGGUUACACGGCCGACAAGGUACAAGUUGCCCUUAGAACAAAAAAAAAUUAAUCACGCUUUUUCUUAAGCUCUCUCUCAGCCCGACCUAGUUCUAUCAGAAGACGGAUGUACUCUUCUUUUAUCUCUUUCAUCGAAGCCUCCGCUUCGACUUGACGGGGGAGAGGGUGACUCCGGUCCAUGGCCGGGCGUGAUGUUCCUACUGCUGCAUCUUCAAGGACGAUUUGAUGAGGAAGCGGAUGACUUCUGUCGGCUUGAGGUCGCCGGUGGUCGUUGCUGUCCAGAAAGUCCCAGAUCCAUCGGAUGUCGGCAGGGACGUGCUCUUGGAGUUCGUCGCGAUGAGCUCUGAUUAAAUCCUUAUCUUCUUGCGACAACGGUUCAUCGGAGUGUACAAGUCCGAUGGCUCGUUCGAGUUCGGGGCUAAGGCGCCGUGGCUGCGGAAAGCAACAAUAUACAUAUAGCUGCCGAAAAGGUGAUUCCCUUCAGAAGAGCUAAACUAAGAAAGAGAAUGAAGGCAAAUCUUUUACCUGAUUAACGGAGGAAGAGGUAGAGGAUGGAGAAGACAUGACUGAAAGGCGCACCGACGUGAACAGGUCGAGGAAGAUGAAGCCGAGUUAGAAAGGUACUCUCGGAACGGUCACCUAGGCCGGUGUUUAUAGGAAAGGAAGGCAUGGAUGUUUGGUAAGACGCGUCCCAUCGGGAGUGUGAAAGGUAAUAAAUAAGGGGGCGUCGCGAAGGACGGUCAAAGGGAUCAUUAAAUGUUCGUACAAGAACUGCCAGCACUUUUACAGGUCACCCAGAAGGGCAUCGAUAGCUGCGAUCGCUCGACGCCGGAUCUGAUCGGCAGAGUCCAGGACCCGUUGGUCAUCCUCUGCCGAUCCGGGGACUUCUAACAUAUGGCGGUGGAGUUUGAGGGCCUCGUGAGCCAGAUGCUGCCUCUCUCGUUUCAGAUCGGCAAUGACAGAAGGGAGUUCCUGAAGCCUCUUCUCUUCGGCGUCUAUUGCUUUGGUCACCUGCUCCAUCUCCUUGGCAAGCUCUGCCCUUCGGCGUUUGAGGCGAUCUAUCGUGCCGACGAUCCCCGGGCGAGAGUCUUCCAGAAAGUGAAUCCGUUGAUGCACCUCUUGAGCUUGACGCUUGUACGUGUCUUCUUCUUCACGAGUUUUGGUCAACUUGACGCGAUCGGCCAUGUGGCGCAGGGCCCUAAAGACUGGAAUCCUCAUUGACUCGAUAUAUGCAGCUGGCGCCAAGGCCUCUUCCGCUUCUUCUGGUACUCGCCCGCUGACGUCACCAAAAAGUUGUUGAAUCAGCGAAGCGUCUUCUACCAAUCGGCCGAUGUCCUCUUGAAGAAGGGAUCGGAUGCUUGCGAGUUUGGCACGGACGUCAUCAGGAACGGAGCUCAAAGUGACCUGGCGAGAGGCGACUUCCUCAUCAUCGGAGAGUGCGACCGCAAACGAGAAAAGGCUGUUGUUGGGGGUGUCCUGUUCCUGAAAAAUAGUGAGUCAAGAAGAAGAACAAAUCAGCCGAUGAUGAUAGCAAAUCGGCUGAGUAAGGGUGAGAAAUCUCUUACCUCCUUGAAACGGAUUUCUUCAAACUGCGUUUGGGAGGCUGUUAUCCUCGAUUCAGGGGCUGGUACCAUUGGUUCGUCAGAAGCUGAAGACUCCACCAUGAUUGGUGCUUUGCUCGGGCCAGCUUCCCGAAAGAUGACCAUUGGUUGGUUAGGUGGGGCGCUAAGCGUACCGGUGACCUGUGUCAAAAGAUUGAAUAAGAAUAUUAUCCAAAUACUAGAAAAAUCGGUUGAAGAGUAGUAUACCUCGGCAGACGGAAGCGUGGGCGUGUUGAUGACCGAUUGGGUUGCUGCCGAUUGUUGUGAGUCCACAGAAGUGAUUUGUGUAGUCUAAAAUAAGAUGAGUCAGUAUAGAGAUGGCAAUCGGUAGGAUCAAACAACAAGUUUACCUGCAUGGCCUCCACCAGUAAUGAUGCAGCGGCCGCCCCAGCUUGCGUGACGACUUGAGUAUCUACUUCUCCAGCAGCUGGAAGGGGCAAUGUGGCCGAAGUUUCUGCCGAUGUGAUCGUAGGAGGGUCGGCCGGUUCUGUACGAGCUCGCACUCGGCGACUGGUCUUCUUGGUAACCUUCUUCUGCGCCUGCUUCGAUCGGCCGGCAAUCACAUCCACGGAAGGGGCAUCGUAGCCGAUAAGGGGGAAGAUGGUGUAUAGGUGAUGGUCCUCUAUCGGCCGGCCACUCCGACUGUGUGUUGGGGGAACGCAGUUUUCAGACUGAAGCAACAGCAAGAUGUUAGUGUACAUAUUUAACCGCAUUAAUAAAGGAAUGAAAAUCAGUUAGGGAAAAAAAAUACCUCGGUGUUCGGAUCGAUGUUGGCUGGAUCCAGGAGGUUGCAGUAUGUCGAUGCGGAGGCACAGAAUAGGUACUGUUUUCAUUCGGCCCACCAUAGCUUGAAUGGUUGGACAACAAAGGGGGCUACUAUCCAGUCAUUCAAGUCUAUGGUACUGGAGUCUGGUAUCCGGUCUCGCAGCCGACUAUAGUCAAGACCCUUGGUGAGCUCAUCUCUGAACUUUGCUCGGCCGACGAAGUAUGCCUGAAUCGGCAGUUGACCCAUGCCGAAUUGCCGAGCUGCAACGGAGGGAUUGUAGAAUUCAUAUGUAGGGGCAUCCUUUCCUGAGAAGAAGUUGGCCGGUAAGAUCCCCGGUUUAAUUAGUUCAUCUGUGAGAUCUUCGUCGAAUCAGCCGGUGGUUGAGUCGAAGCAAGAAGGGAGUUCAAAGAUUGGGUCAUCUCUCCAAUAAGGAAACCAGACGGUUGCAUCUUCAUUGAAGCCGUUAUAAAAACACUGGAAGUAUUCGGCCACCUUGGUAGCAGAGUACGAGCAACCAGAGAAGGCCGAUGCCGCUUCGCCGAAAGACAUACACCGGCGUCGGACAGUGAGAUUCUCUGCCGAUUCGACGCUGGGGAAUGUCAUGUGUUCCACUCGCUGCUGAGAGAUCUCGCUCAUGUACAAGUUCAGCCAUAAGUUAAUGAACCACCAGGGUCCACCUGGGUUUCCAAUUGGCUACCCUUGGGAUAGCUUGAUGCCGAUUUGGUGAAGCAUGUGGUAGGCUGCUCCCAGUAAGUGCUUUCCAAGAGGAACAGAAGUCCCUAUUGAUAAUGCUUCGGCCAGAGCUUGGGUAUUGGUAGAUGGACCAGCUGCUCUCCCACAGAAGAAGUGCUUCUCUAGCCACAUCAUCAGGAAGGCCGUGUGCUCUCUGUUGUCGACAGAUCCGGCCCUUUUGUUGCAUCUGAUGAAACCUUUCCACCUGCCGAUUCCCCUUGUGUCCAGCCGAUGUGAUGUUGCGGUUAUAAGGCGGAAAGGGGUGUCCGGGGAAGAAAUAUCCAGGCCGGUCAGGAAGACUACAUCGGCCAAUGUGGGGGUCAUGGGUCCGUGUCCAAACAGGAAUGCGUUGAGAGCAUUGGACCAGAAGUAAGAAGCUGCCACCACUAAUGGCUCAUUCCGUUCCAUUUGGGACAAAGAUAGAUCGAUGCAUUGGCCAAUUUUGAGCUCGUCCCAUUGGACCUUCUUGGAAGCGGUUAUCCGCUGGUACCAUUCCCUCCAACUGGGAGUUUCGUUCGGCCAAGACCUAAAGGUACUCAACCAGUGAUCUAGGUCCAUAGUUGAUUGUUUGAAGGGGAUCCUAUGGGUUUUCCAAAUUGAUUAAGUCGGUUGGAUCUGGAUUUCCCAUGGGUCCAAGACAGAUAAGGCCGAGGUUUUCUGUGAGACGAAUGGUGAUGCGAUGCCUAACCGCCUAAAAAGGAAAAGGGGGUGCGAGGGUAAGAAAUAGAUCUAAAGUACAUGCAUUACUAAUAAGGGAAAGUUUCGGUAAUGACCUCCGGGAUGAAGCUCCUCGUAAUCGGCGGAGUCGCCGGUGCAGCUGCAGACGAUGAAGCUGCCAAUGGGAUCUCGGAUGAAGCUUCAACUUUCGCCAAUGGAGCUCCUUCUUCCGUCGAUGGAGCCGUCGUUAUCGCUACUGGAACCUCCGCCGAAGGCACCAUUUCUGGAGCUUCGCGCAUUGGUGAGGUGCCUGAAGGUGCCGCCAUUGGAAAAGUAGGAGGCAAUGCGAAAGGAAGGAGGCGCUGGAGAAUUGGUGGACUAAGGAAAGUGUUGGAGGAAGAAGAAAGCCUGUGCACUGAAGAAGAUGGACAUGAGCUCGUAAGGAGUACGGGAUGUGCUGAUAUUUAAAGAACGUCUGAGAAGGGGUAAAAGUGGAAUUUUUACCGCGCUGGCGUUUUGAGUUUUUCGGGAGUAGUGGUUGUCGUGGGCACCCGUUUCGAAAAGAUUGCAAUCAUCAGGUUGGAGACCGCGAAAUGGAAGGAUGUUUUCAUUGCGUCUGUUUCGGAUGAGAAGUUGAAAAGAAUUUUGAAGUAAAGACUAUGUUUUACUCCGAAACUGGGAGGCAUGUGUUGACGCCAGAUUUUGACACGAGUAAAAUCGGCGUUAGAAAUGGAAUAAAUUAGGAGAUGCGGCGAGAUACAAGGGCGACGAUUGGAAAUCGGCCGAUUGGUGCUACAGUCAAGGAUCGGUUGGUUGGUGCUGCAGUCAAGGAUCGGCCAAUUGAUGCUACAGAUGAGGAUCGACCGAUUGAUCCUUGGAGUUCCGCCUCGCCCAACCCCUGGUUUGGGAUCGGACGCGCCCGACCCUCCAAGGGAGGAUCUCCGCCUCGCCCGACCCCUGGUUUGGGAUCGGACGCGCCCGACCCUCCAAGGGAGGAUCUCCGCCUCGCCCGACCCCUGAGGUUUGGGAUCGGACGCGCCCGACCCUCCAAAGGAGGAUCUCCGCCUCGUCCGACCUUAGUUCCCAGGGUCGAAAUGAGUCUGAGCCCUCGAUAUGUGGGUCCUGAUCGGUUACCCCCUUGCCAAAGAGGUGAUCGGCCGAUUAGGAGGUUGGAAUAGUUGGGCCGAUGUGGGCUCAAGAAGGAUUAUGAAGAUGAAGAGGGGGUCAGCCCAUGAAGCGCGUGAAAAUAGUACGAAUCGUACUUGUAAAUAUUCGUUUUCUGUUUAAAUUUAGGGAUAGAGUUCUAGUCGGAUAAGAAGUCGUUCGUACGGGGCUAUAAAUAGCCACCGUUGUAGAUCUGUAAUCAUCAUCAACUCAAUACAACAAACUACUAUUUCCUCGUACUUACUUUCAAGCAGGCGACUUUACCAACACUUUUUCUCCUUUUUCACGAGUUCAUACGGGUUGGCGGGGCUGCAUCAACUUGACCUCCGGCCGAUCUUGUAAGUUCCGUUUAUCGACUAAAUUCUAAGCUUUAACUUCGGGCGCAUCGCUGUCGUUUCGUUUAGAUUUAUUCAUCAGUUAUCGAUAUUUACUAGAAUUCUAGGUUUUACCUGUUGUUCUAGUUUUAUCACCAAUUAUCCAGCUAGGAAUCGGUAAAUUCGGCUUUCUUUAUACUUCUCUGUCUAAUCUAUUUAUUUUAGCCGAUUAGAUCUGUUCCUAGUGUUGCUACUGUAGCGUUGUUUAGAUUACUCUAGCAGUUUUCUUUAUAAACGUUACCUGGUAAUCGGUUGCACUAUAGCCGAUUUCCUUAUUACGGCAAAUCGGCCGAUUCGCUGAUAAGCUUUCUUGAGACCGGAACCUUAGCCGAUCGCAACCUCUGGGAACUGACAUGUUUAUUUCCUUGCCAAUCAACAGGUCAGAUUGGCUGGCACGCCGCGCGAACCGCACCAGGGCAAUCACCCGAACAGGAGUUAAGCAGAUUCUCCCGGGUCGUGUGUCCGACGCUGGAAAUUCGGUCAGCUGAUUUCUAGCGCCAACAGGCUCAUUUAUGUCGCCUGACACGCGAAUAUGCACUUUAACCAAGUCAACCUGGUCGACCGUCGGAUUUCAUCCGAUGAACCACUUACACAGGAUCAAGAAGCAUCGCUCAAACGAAGGUGAGUAGCACAGAGGUUACAACAUUCCAUUAUGACAACUUAGUUCCACAAUUUAUUACAUCAGAGUUUCAGAAAUUCAAACAAGUUGCAAGGUUCGAAAAGUCGGAUAAAACAAGCGAAAACUAAACGUCGAUACAGGAUAUCAUGACGAAGUUGAUCAUGACAUCAAAAAUCCCUACCCUCACCGUCCGAGGAGGGAUCCCACUCGAUUGUCCAGCCCGGAGGGAGCUGGGUAGGCCAAGUGGUGCCAGCAACCAAACUAUUGACAUGACCUGAAAAGAUUAAGCCAUAACAAGGCUGAGCAACUAAUACUCAGCAAGACUGACCCGUCGAGUGAAAAGCUUUACCAAGACCUAGACAUGCAAGGCUUUCUGGCUCUGGGAUUACUUUGCCAAAAGCAUCUACAGUCGGUCCUUACUUUCAAUAUUUUAGCUUAAGUUCUACGUUCUUUAACCAGUCUAGAUUAGCAACUUAUACUAAACAAGCAUAAUUUCCAAGUAGUUAAAUAACAAGCAUCAACUUAAUCUCAUAAUCAUGUUUCAUCGUUACUCAGUGCAGAAUAGCGAUCAAGUAGUCCCAAACUGUGAGAGACAGAUGAAUCGAUUCGAAUUUAUUAACCAUGCAUGGCGAACCUAAUCUCACGACAUCCGCGCACCACGAAGGGUCGCUUCAUUUGUCAGCCGUCCCCAUCGAUCCCUUAGGCACGUGUCAGGGCCAAACUGCCUUUGGCGUGCAAUGCUCCACAGUCCCGACCUCUGUCGUACUGUGACCGCCACUGCACCCACAUGAUGCACCAUGGGAACGACGUUCCAAGGACAGCAGGAGUAUAAGCCACGUCCCAGUUCAGUCAGGUACUAGGCUUCCCCAUCCCAGACUAGGUAUGAGAUUAGUACUUUCAAACACUUGAUCACGAACGCUGACACGUUUCAACCUUAGAUCAAUUUCCUUUAGACAGACGGGGAAAACCACCAAGUAUCGAACAUAAGCCCGACCCCGUCCGUCAUCCUUAUAGUUGCAACAUAAAUAAACAUUCAACUCCUAUAACUCGCGAGUGAUAGGAAAUCACUCGACUUUUACUGAAACCUAAUAAGCAUUGCAACUACUCGACUUUAGCAACUAGUAUUCAAACAAGGUACUAAGUUCAUGCAUCUACGGUUUCAAUCAACUCCUACACACGUAAAUGCGCAAACAUAAACAUCAACAUGUUGCAUAAAGUAAAACAGGGAAGUCAUGCACCGGGGCUUGCCGUCAGGAAGAGUUAGCGGGUCCUCGGGGUCUUGAUCCGGCUCAGGCUCGCCUUCCAAGUGGUGAAGCUCCGCAGCGGGGUCUUCCUCCGGUGUCGGGUGGAGCUCGUAGGUUCCAUCGGCGAGAUUUGCUUCUAUACGACAUGCAUAUGCAAAAGUUUAGUUGGACUCACGCGUUUAUUCAACGACACAAGGCUUGGCUUAAGACAAGGAGUUGCAACAGCCACAUUCACUUUGACGAGGUUCAACUUUCAUGCAACUUCAAACGAAUGUGGUCGGUUUAAACUUGAGUUCGAGUUGAAUGGCGAUUGUGUACAUAUAUAGUUUUCUUACACUUAGAGUUGCAUAAAGAGAAUGAAAGGUCGUGUUUGGGUGGUUUGGGUGCAUUAGGAUAGUUACUUACUUCUGAAUGUUUUUAUGUACCUCUUUCAAUUUCCACUUAUUUAUCGUAUUAGAAUUUGUGCUUUCCUUUUAUUCCUUUAGGUUGAUUAAUUAACCAAAAUGACUUCAUAUCCAAACAGCAGCUAAAGGCACUGAUAAAAUUACAACACCUCACUUAAGCCAUAGCUGGGUUACUCUAAAAUUUUGGGGGCCAUUGGAUGACUUAAAAAGGAAUUACAUGCAUUUUAUUAUUAAAGGUAAAAUGAGCUUAACUUUUUCUAUCUUCAAAGUUACUAUGCAACAGAGGGUGAAACUUAACCAGUGUGUUAAGGGUAUGUUACAGGAUCUUUGGCGAAUUUUUCAUAAUUUUUGAAGAAGGUUAACUAUUUACUCUAUUUCCUUUUUAAUUAAACAUGCUUAGCAAGGAAGGUGUUUUUUCUUUCCGAAUUGCACAACAAUUUACAUUUUUCCUGCAAACUUCACAGCAAAACAAAAUUAACCCAACUAGUUUCACAUUUUUUUGAGCUCUGGAUCAAAACGUAUGCAAAAAGGAAGAAUUAAUCUUAGAUUCCCAAAUUAAAGUCAAAACAAUGACUUAAAGUGCUAGACCAGAGCCCUAACCAUUUUUCUGAGCUUCUACACAUAGAAACAAGCAUCACAGAGUUGGUUUUACAUUUUUCCCACUUUUCUUCUAUUUAAUAGGAUUAAAAAGGCCUAAACCAUGAUUAAAAGCAUAUGAUAUUAUUUACAACAGUAACAUGAGCAAACUUAUUUUUCUUAGGAACUAGAUAGAGCAAGGAUUCCAACAAAAGUGGUUUGGUAUUUUUAUGAUUUUUCUACGAUUUACUGGGCAUUUACAAAGUUCAACCAUAUUUCUACCUAUUAUUUAAAAGAAAAGCCGUGGCAAACUUGCAGGUUAGCCCCUGGGUCUAUGGGUUAACUACGCAGAGGUCCCUGAGUUUUGCGCCCAGGCCCCUGGAAAGAAUGGGGAUGAUGCAAUGUAGUCCCCAGGGCGCGCGCGGCGGCGGCGAGGAAAUCCCCGGCGGUUCGUCGGCGGGGAUGGGGCAACAAGUGGUCGGAGGGGUGCGGGGGCUCACCUGAGCUCGGUUUGGUGGGGUUGGGGCGACGGAGAUGGUCGGUAGGGAUCAAAACACGGCGGCGGCGACAGAGCUUGGCUGGUGGCGGUGCAGGCGUCGUUCCGGCGCACUGGCGGCGUCGGGGAGGCCACGGGCUGCUCGGAGACGUGCGCGGAGGGGGGGCGAAGUGGGCGGCGAAGUUGCCGGAGUACGGGGUGGCGCGGAGGGGUGAGCUCCACGGGAGCUUAGCGGCGGCGCUGAGAAGGAAGCAGAGGCGUGGUUGCGAGCGGUGGCAAAGGGUGGCAUUGCCGGUGAGGGGGACCCUUUUAUAGGGCAGCGGUGGAGCGGAGGGUCGAGGUGGGGCUCCGGUGGAGGAAGGAUAAGGCCGGGAGCGGUGCGUGCGCGAGCGAGGCGGCCAUUGGCCAGCGGUGCCAUUGGGCAGGGGAGGCGGAGCUCCGGGUGGUCUCUGGCCGCGAUUGGCCUCGAGCGAUGCGUGUCUGAGGCCUCCGGUCUGUCGGCGGGCGAAGCGGAGGGCCACCGCGGGGGUUGGGCGAGCGGGCGGAGGCGCGGGACGUCGUUGGCGUGGUGGCUUCUCCAGCGGGUGGGCGAAGCGCGGUUGGGCAGAGCAGAGCCGCGGCAGAGGGAAGGGCACGCGCGCGGCCGACGGUUGGCCAGCCCGGCGUUCGCCCCGUCUUGUCGCAGGCGCGGGUUGGGCGCCGUGGCUCUCACCUUAUCGUUGUCUCGCCGGGGAUAGGGCGCCGGUGAGCUGCCGGUGGCCAGCGGCCACGAGGCACGCGGUGCGCGGGCGAACAUGCCCUGGCGCGCGGGCGUUGAGGCCCCUUCGGGCAGUAAGCCCGACCAGCUUUGAGAGAUCCUAUCUCAAGAUUUUGCAACACAACUUCCAAAACUCUUCUAAACAAACUUGUUCAACUCUGGACGUAGUUCAAACUUGGUUUAAGGUGCUGGUUUAGAUUGUGAAAGGAUUUGGAGAUAUCUCAUGCCAAAGUUUGCCAAAAAUAUGGAAAUCCAGACUUAGCCAAUUUUGGCCGGAGAGGUGGAAUUUCAGGAACUUAGCUAUGUUUGAGUCAACUUUAGGGCAGCUUCCAAGUUGAAUUAGACAGAAGUGUUAAUAGAGGAGUUGCUCUCCAAACUGAGGACUUCAACUUCUAUUUAGGGUAUUUCUGGAGUUUAGUUCAGAAAUUUGGAGGAACGCCCUCGCCAAGAGGUGCACUCUGAGCAGUUUUCCAGACUUAGCGUUGUGGUGCUCAGGGGCUGAGUUGACUGCUUUGCUCAACUUUGACCAAGAUUUUGAACAGGUUCUGGUUCGAUUUGGACCUGGGUCAUUGUAACAAACUUGGAAAACACUUGAGGUAUUACAACCUUUAUUAAGAGCCUGACUUGAGUUUAGAUAUGAAAUCGUGAGAUAAAGGCUUGCAAAGUUGGAGGAAAACUUGAAUUCCACGACUUGGAGGUUUAUAGGGUUCUUUAUUAUUCCGGUUUUGAUUCCUGUUUUUGACUUCCUCCCACUCCGAAUUAGCCAAAGUGACUUUAACAAAUAUUGUUUGAAAUUAAAAGUGUUACAACUCUUAUUUGGGCAAAAUUUUAAGUUUGUAUAUAAAAUCUCAAGUUUUAUUUUAAACUCCAUAAAGAGCUUCUUAGGGUUAAAAUGGUCAUUUCACUUCCUUUACUUAGUGAUUAACCACUGGUUUAUAUUUAAAGCACUUAAUUUAGGUAGAGUUGUUACAAGUAUCCACUCACUACUUUACCAAAUGGGUGCAGGCAGUCCCUCUGAAGACCGUGACGUUGGCCGUCAUGAUUGAAUUCAUAAGCGAGCACAUUAUCUAUUGGUUUGGUAUUCCUCAGACUGUUACGACCGAUCAGAGAACAAUGUUUACUUCAGGAGAGUUUGAGGAGUUCACUUCCGAUAUGGAAAUUAAGUUGUUAAAUUCUUCUCCAUAUUACGUUCAAGCUAAUGGUCAGACCGAAUCGUCCAAUAAAGGGAUAAUCAAGUGUAUCAAGAGGAAGGUAGAGGAGCAACCAAAGAGAUGGCACAUGACUUUAAGCGAGUCUUUGUGGGCCUACAGGAUGGCCUGCCACGGCGCUACUAAGGUGUCUCCUUAUCAAUUAGUGUAUGGAUAUGAGGCGGUGCUCCCUUAGGAAUUGAGGAUGGGGUCUAGACGCACGUCGAUUCAAGAUUAGUUGACAGCCGACGAUUAUUCUCUCCUUAUGAAAGGGGAGCUUGAGGAUUUGGUGGGUCAACGAUUGAGGGCCUUGAUCAGUAUUGAAGAGAAUAAGAAAAGACUUGCCAAGUGGUAUGACAAGAAGGUCAAGGUCAAGCAGUUCUCGCAAGGGGAUUUGGUAUGGAAAUUGGUAUUGCCGAUAGGGUCUAACCAUCCCAAAUACGGCUAGUGGUCGCCUACUUGGGAAGGGUCGUAUAAAUCGAUCGAUAUGUGCCAGGAAAUGCAUACGUAUUAGAGACCAUCGAGGGAGAGGAAUUUACAAGAGCCUUAAAUGGGAGAUAUUUGAAAAGAUACUAUCCCAGCAUAUGAGUGGACGCGUAGCCGAUGAUAUAGUGUAUCGAGUCGUUAUGGCCGAUUCCUAUUGACUCGUGUUUAUAUAGCCGAUGCAGGGAGGCAUCGCCUUGAGGACGAAACCUCUAAUCAAAUUGGCCGAUUAUUAUUCGGUACGGUGAUUGGAUACAUGGCCAACAUGGUACAAGUCGCCCUUAGACCAAAAGUACCAAUACAUCUAUCGGGUUACAAUAUGAUUAACUGCAUUUCAACUGGGCUUUGUUUUUAUUGAUCUCUCUUUGGACCCGGCCUAGUUCUAUUAAGAGACGGGUGCUCUUUUCCUCCCUAUCCGCCAUGGCAUCUUUGAGAGCGACCUGGCAGGGUAGCUGAUGACUCCUCUCAAUUGGCGGCUGAGGUGGCUCCCUGGAGCUGUUGGCUUCGAUGUGAUCCACGAUCUUCUUAAUGUGGGUCGGAAGAUGGUCUUUAAGCUCCUCACGGUGGGCUUUGAUCAGGUCUUGGUCCACCUGCAUCAGUGGUUCCUCAGAGUGCAUAAUUUCGAUAACUCGCUCAAGAUCAGGGCUGAGCCGGGUCGGCUGGACAAACAGCGGGCAAUCAGUUGUCGAAAAGAAUUGGUCAAGGAGCGCAAGGCUGAUCUCAUACCUCAUUGACGGGGGAAGAAGAAGACAUCUUGGCGCCCGGUUAGGGAUCUGAAAAUGGUCGAGCAGAGUGUAGAAGGAUGGAUGAGAUACGAGUGCCUCUGGGAGGAAUGUAGGGACCCCAUAUUUAUAGGAGAAAAGGUAAGGGGCAACGGUUGGCAAAGGCAUCUAUUCAAAGCAGAUGAAUGUUGAGCUAAAAGCUGCGAAGAGGAAACGUUCAAGUCCGUAUUCACACAAUGAUGGCAAAAGGGGCAUUAAAUGUUUGUGCAGAGGUGUUCAAAAGAUAAUUCAAUGUUUUGAUACAUUCAUUCAAGAAGAAUAUUAAUGGCCGCGAUUGCCUACUGGCGGAUCUGAUCCGCUGAAUCUAGAACUCGUUGGACAUCUUCGGCUGAUCCAAGAAUUUCUAGCAUGUUGCGAUGAAGCCGGAUGGCCUCAUGCGCAAGGGUUUGCCUCUCCUGCUUCAGAUCAGCGAUGACGGUCGUGAGAUCAUGAAGAUUAUUCUUUUUGGCGGUUAUAGCCUUUGUCACCUACUCCAUCUCCUUGGCAAUCUCUGCCCUAUGCUAUUUGAGACGGUCUAUUGUGCCGACGAUGUCUGGGCGAGAAUUUUCGAGUACGCCGAUUCGGUGAUGUACCUCUUGAGCUCGGUGUUUGUAGGAAUCCUUCUCUUCACAUGGCUUUGCCAGCUUGGCAUGAACGGCCAUGUGCCGCAGGGCUCUGAACACCGGGAUUUGCAUUGACUCGAUGUAUGUAGGAGGUGCAAGAGCUUUUUCUACAUCCUUCAGGACUCGGCCUUUUAUUUCGCUGAAGAUUUGCCAAAUCGGCGAAGCGUCUUCCACCAAUCGGCCGAUGUCAUCUUGAAGAAGUGCUCGGAUUCUCUGGAGCUUUGCACGUACUUCUUCCGAAAUUGAACCUGGAGCCACUUGUCGAGAGGCUACCUCUUCAUCAUCAGAAACAGCGAUCGCAAAUGAAAAGAGGCUGUUAUUGGGCGUAUCUUGUUCCUAUAAAAGUAAGAGAGGAAGGAACGGAUUAGCCGACAGUAGUGGGAAAUCGGUCGGAUUGGAUGUCGAAGGCCCUUACCUGUUUAAAAUGAAUUUUCUUCUGUUUGUGUUUGGGGGAUUGCUACCCUUGUCUCAGGAAUCAGCAUGGUUGGCUCGUCAGAAGAAGAAGACUCGACGGUGAUCGACGUUGUGUUUGGACCGGCUUCCUGAAAGUAACAAAAGGAGAGUCUCUAUAAGUAUGAAGCAAUAGUUAGAUCUAAGGAUGAGUACCAGUUACUUUACCUCUGUGAGUCGUCCGGCCGAUGACUGUUGGAAAGGUAUGAUUGAUGUACCCAGAGUGGCCUACAUUAGAAAUCGGUCAUUUUUGACUAAGGAAUAAGAGACUUGAGUAAGAUGUAUGUUCUUUACCUCAGCUGCAAGGAUUGCUGGUGGUUCGGUCUCUGCUUGGGAUGCGACCGAUUGCUGUGAGGUUUGCUCCGAAAGAAUUUGCGCAGCCUAACAAAAAGUGGAAAUUAAUACUGAUAGUAUACUUGGAGAAAUGUGAAGCAUAUAAAGUUACCUGAACAUCUUUUACCAAUAAGGAUGCAGCUGCUGAUCCGGCUUCCGUAGCGGCUUGGGGGUCGACCUCCUGGGCGAUCGGCAGAGUUGGUGUGGCUGAAGACUCGGCUGGUGGCACCGCCGAUUGAUCGGCCGGUUCUAUACGGGCGCGCACCCGGCGGCUUGUCUUCUUUGAAGAGGAUAUCUUCAUCUUCUGCUUCAAUCGGCCUGUGAUGAUAUCUUCGAUUGACGGGGACUGAAAGCCGAUGAUUGGAAAUGAAGUAUAUGGGUGGCGAUUCUCUAUCGGCCUGCCACUACAGUUGUGCGUUGGAGAGAGUUGGCUUUCAGACGACAAGAAAUGAGGGAAAUCAGUGGUAAUACUGUAAGAGUACGGUGUCAAAUCGGCCAGAAGGAUUGGUACCUCUGCAUUCGGAUCAAUGUUAGCGGGGUCCAGAUCAUUACAAUAUGUUGUAGGAGAUGUGCAGAAGAGGUGUUGUUUCCACUCACCCCACCAUAGCUUGAAUUGUUGGACAGCGAAGGGGGCCACAACCCAGUUGGCCAAUUCGAUGGUACUGGAAUCCGGCGUCAAGCUGCACAGCUGAUUGUAUUCAAGACCUUUAGAGAGCUCCUCCCGACACUUAACGCGGCCGGCAAAAUAAAUCUUAAUCGGCAUUUGUCUGAGGCCGAAUUGCCGCGCUGCCACUGAUGGGUUGUAGAAUUCAUAGGUUGGGGAGUCUUUUCCUGAGAAGAAGUUUGCUGGUAGGAUCCCAGGCUUGAUCAAAGUAUCCAUAAGCUCAUUAUCGAAGUAAUUGAUGGUUGAAUUGAAGCAGUCGGGGUUUUCAAAGAGUGGCUCAAUUCUCUGAUAUGGGUACCAGCUUGUAGUUUCUUCAUUGAAGCCGAUAUAGAAGCAUCUGAAAUACUCAGUUGUAUUUGUGGGGGUAAACUUGCUGCCAGGAGAAGCUGACGCUACCUCGCCAAGGAAGUGCAACGCCGUCUUAAUGUUGGGUUAUCCUCUGAUUCAAUAUUGGGGAAUGUCUUGGUCUCAACUCGUUCCCUGGAGAUCUUGCUCAUGUAUAAGUUGAGCCAGAUGGUGAUAAACCACCAGGGGCCACCAGAGUUCCCAAUCGGCUCUCCGGAUGACAGCUUGACUGCGAUUUGGUGCAUCAUAUGAUGAGCCAAUCCUAGCAGGUGUUUUCCUAAGGGGAUAGUAGAACCUUUUGCUAGGGCCUCGACCAGAGCCUGUGUAUUGGAGGAGGGGCCAACUGCUUUGCCACAGAAGAAGUGCUUCUCUAACCACAUCAUCAGGAAAGCUGUGUAUUCUCUAUCGCCGAUAGGACCGGUCUUCAUAUUUUUAUCAAUAUAGCAUUUCCACCUGCCGAUUCCCUUUGUUUCCAGGCGAUGGGUUGGUUUGAUCAGGAAAUUGAAGGGCAAGUCGGGGGAAGAGAUGUCAAGACCGGUCAGCAUCAGGACGUCGGCCAAAGUAGGGGUCAUGGGCCCAUGUCCAAAAAGGAAAACAUUGAGAGCGUCAGACCAGAAAUAAGAAGCUGCCAUGACCAAAGGUUCAUUCUUCUCCAUUUGAGACAGAUAUAAGUUUAUGCAUUGGCCGAUUUUUAGUUCAUCCCAAAGAACCCUCUAAGAAUUGGACAUCCUUUGAAACCACUCUUUCCAGCCAAGGGUUUCGUUCGGCCAAGAUCUAAAUGCACCUGUCCACUGGCUUAAAUCCAUUGGUGACUGCUUGAAAGGGAUCAUGUGGGUUUCCAGGUUGAUCAAUUCAGUGGGAUCUAGAUUCCCCAUGGGGCUAAGACCGACGAGGCCGGGUGCGUCAGAAACAGGGAUGGUGAUUUGCUGCCUAAGUUCCUAAAAAGGAUACAAAAGGAGAACUAAGAACAGAUCUAAAAGAUGCGUGAAUGGUGAAAAGUAAAAGUAAAAACUUUGGGAUAUUUACCUCUGGAAUGAAAGCCAUAGUCGCCUAUGGAGCCGCUAUUGGAGUAAACAGAAUAGGAUGGACGGAAGAUGAAGGAGGAAUCACCGUAGGAAUGCAGUUGGAAGAUGAAAGGGUGCCGAAAUGCGAUGGAAGAUGAUUCGCCGGGGAAAAAAGAGUUUCCCAGCUUGUGGAGAAGAAGCGGCGGAGAAUGCAAAUAUUUAAAGAUGGUUCGAGAGAAGGGUAAAGGUGGGAUUUUACCGCGCUGUCUGCACAAAUUUCGGGAAGAGCGGUUGCCUGCGAGCGCCUAGCUCGAAAAUUGUGAUCAUCAGAGAGAAGACCGCAGAACAGAAAGGAGCUUUCGCCGUGCCCGCCUCGGAGGAUGAGUUAGAGUUGAAAAAAAUUUGAAGCAAAAAGUUUCACUCUGAAACUUGGGGGCAUGUGUUGACGCCGGAUUUUGACACGUACUUGAAAUCGGCGUCAAAGAAGGAGAAAGGGGGGCCGAUGCGGCGGACUAGAAGCUACAGUUGGGAAUCGGCCGAUUGAAGCUACAGUGUUUCAGCCGAUUGGUGGAAGAAAUCGGUGGAGGCUGGCCGAUUGAGAGCCAAAGCAGUUUGGCCGGUUUGGGCCUAAGGUGGACCAGGAUGAAGAUUUGCUGAAGAGACAGGCCCGUGGGAAAAUAAUAACCAACUCGAAUAUGAGUCGUGUUUGUAACUAUUUGUUGUCGUUUGAAAUUAGAGAUAGAUUCUAGUCGGUUAUGAAAUCAGUUGCAACAGGCAAUAAUAGCUGCCUCGAGAGGCUUGUAAAAAAAUAACACACAAUCAAUAAAACAAAUUUACUCUUUCCUCGUACUUUACUUUCAAGUCGGCGACUUCGCCAAAACCUUUUUCUUUCACGAGUUCGUACGGAUUGGCAGGGCUGCAUCUACAUGAUCUCCGACCGAUUCUGUAAGUUCCGCUUAUCGAGUAAUAUCUAAGCUUUAACUUCGGGCGCAUCGCUGUUGUUUCAUUUAGAUUUAUUCACUAGUUAUCGAUAUCAACUACAGUCAUAGGUUUUACCUGUUAUUUUAGUUUUUAUCACCAAUUAUCCAGCUUGAGGUACGAGCUAUCGGCUUCUAUUAUUUUUAUCCUUUAUCAUCACAUAGCUGAUUAGAUCUACUCCAAGUGUUGCUUUUGUAGUGUUGUUUAGGUUGCUCUAGAAGUUUUCCUUACGAUUGCUACGUGAGUAUCGGCUGUCUUAUAGCCGGUCAUCUCUAUAGUAAAUCGGCCGAUUCGCUAAUACGCUCUUCAAGACAGAUCGGAACUCUAGCCGAUCGAAACCCCUAAAAUUUAAUAUUCUUCUUUCCUUUGUCAAUCAACAGGUCAGAUUGACUGGCACGCCGCGCGAACCGCACCAGGGCAAUAACCUGAACAGGAGCUAAGCAGAUUCUCCCGGGUCGUGUGUCCGACGCUGAGGGUCAUCGGCCAAUUUUCAGGGCCAACAACAGCUUUUGGGCAAAAGCAUAUAGGACUUUUAGGGGGUGUUUGGCAUGGCUCUAGAGCUGAACUCCGGUAACUCCAGCCAAUUUUCCAGCCAAACACCCUAGCUCCAAAACUCCAUGGAGCUGCAGUGCAAAUGGGAUGGAGUUUUGGCGCACCUCUUUUGUAGCUCCAAAACCACCUAAUAUGAACCUCCUCGUGGAGUUGGUGGGUAAUUAACCAUCAAUGCCACUGAUUAAAAUAAAAAUGAUUCACUUCUAUUUUCUCUCGAGACCCCUCCCCGCGCCGCCCGAGGCCUCCUGAUGCCGCUCUCCUGCGCCGCCGCCUAGCGCCGCCGACAGCUGCUGUCGCCGUCCGUGCCCCGCGUCCUGCGGGCUACCGCCUCGCCAUCCCCAUGAGCCCCCUGCACCGCCGUCAGAGCCGCCAGCCGAGCCGCUGCGGCCGGGUUUCCGCCGUCUUGCCGCCUCUUUCCUCAACUGGAGUGAGCCAUCAGCAGCAGCAGAUUCCCCUCGGCGAGCCACGCCCGUUUCGCCGGUUCCGUUGUCACCCUGCUGCCGGAGUGCCGCCGCCACCGUGAAAACCGCCCGCCCCCCGAUCUCCACCACCACGCUGACCACCUCCGUCCAUGCCCUCCGCCGGUGAGCACACCCGUAGAUUCCCCUCGACCCCCUCUUCCUCUUGCGCCACCUGCCCAAAACACCACCUCGCCGGAGCGCCAGCAAGCUAGCUGGCCAGAGCCCCGGUGAGAGGAGGAAGAAGGAACCUGGCUCUUUUGUGAUUGGGUCCUUGAGGAAAGCUAAAAUCUUUUGCUCUGUUCCUUGCUCCCGGCGAGAGGAGGAAGAAUAGUGGGCUUCUGUGGUGGAGGGCGAGAUCGAACCAGGAGUCAGAAUGUCAAUCUACCCUCAAACUCCUCUUUUCUGGAGUUGGGAACACCCUCCCAACCAAACACCUUCAUCAGACAGCAGGUUGAAAAGAGGCACAUGAGGCUCAGCCGCUUAGGCCCACGGGCAAAAAAAAAAAACUCUUACUUUAUGGCGGAGUAGUUGCUGUUCCAGUGUGCAGGUAAAUUGUCGCAAAUGCCCUCUUGUGGUCGCGUUGCAGUAGCCGAUAAGGCGUCCAAACGUGAGGUGCACACACCUGAUCUGAUCCUCUCAGUGGAAACGGGCCAGGUCCAUGCAACCCAGGACAGGAAGGCUCUAUACCUGGGCCGAACGGUAGCCCAAGAGGCCGACAGUAAGUGAGCUCACGGGUGACGAACGGCCCAGAAGCCGCCCCAAUCCGGCCACCGCCACUGAGCCGGCUCGACUAAACCGGAUCGCCACGCAGCCCGACCGCGCAGGCGUACUUCCCGAACUACCCCCGGAGAUUAUCCAAUCGGACGGCCAAGCGCCACGCACUGCCAAAGAAUUCCCCGAAAUGACCCUACUCUUCCCUUUGCCUCCCUCGCGUGCCGCCGGUUCUGCUCGACCGGACCAGCGGUUCAGGCGCCGAAUAUUCGCCCGCGGAUAUUUCUUGCCCGGUGCGUCAACUCCGCCGCUAUAAAUACCCUCAUAGGGCGGCCGCUAGGGUUUUAGUGCUUCUCUCCCGGCGGCGCCUCCACAUAUCGUCUCUCAGAUCGGGAGGCGAAACCAAGGUGACUGACCUCAUCCCCUUUCUCCUCCCUCCGUCUCUGGUUGCUAUAGCUAUUUCAUCCAUGCGCUGUCCUUAUAGCUGAUUAGUAUUUUUACUAGUGGAGUUCGAGUCGUUUUGGUUCCAUUCAGUAGUGCUUGUGUUGAUUGGAUUGAAUCGGAGGACUCGAAGUGGUUUGUGCUGCUCGAAUCGUAAGUUUGUUGGGCUAAUCUCGAUGGAAUUUAUGUCAAUUCGUUGGUUUAGUGGUCCUUGGCAGUUCUCUCUGUGAUAGGCCCGUCCGAUCUGUAGAGAUGCGGUGGAAUCCUGGUUUACUCAAAACGGUUCUAGAUUCCUCUGUUCUUCCCUUAUUUUUUGUUUCGAUUACUUAGUUUGCACGUUAGGGGCCUAUGAAGUUUAUGUGCUCGGAUCCUUUAGUGAAACUGAUCUGUUUACUCAGAUGUGCUCGGAUCCUUCAGUGAAACUGAUCUGUUUACUCAGAUCUGCUGGUAGCUAACAGGUUCAGGGUAGUUAUGUUGAUGGUCUAGUUUUGGUAGUUUCAUUGUCGAUUUCUGUCCAUUUUUGUCAUGUUCUGUCCAUAAAAAUACUAUCUGUGCUUCUUCAUAUCUUGUAAUAUGAAUUCAUUUGACAAACUAUGCAUUUCUUUUAGAGUGUUUGUCUAAAUUAAUCUUCUGGUAUAUCCCUAUGCCAGUCUGUUAAUAUGUCUGUAUUAUAGUGUUUUGUUUGAGGUGGUAAUGUACAUGGUGCACCCUGCAGUUUUUCAUGUCUAAUAUUGAAUCUCCUUGUUUGCUGUAUGUAUUAAGGAUUAGUUUCACUUCAAAUAGCUUACUGCUGAUGCUUUCUUGUUUGUUUAAUAUGCUGUGUAAUCAUGUUGACCCUGAGGUUUGUAAGAAUUCCUCUUAUUUGAUUAUUGCAUGGAUUAGUGUCCUGAAGGAUAUGGCUCCUUUGUACAAUUAAGAUAAUUCACUUUUUUUUCUCAACUUUUAUAUGCUUACUAGCCCAUUAGGUUGUGUAAACAUUAGAGUGCUUUAGCCUGGUAAAGAUGAGUUAAGCAUUUUAAAUAAAUUUUUGGAUUUGGUUGAUAUCAUCCUUAACACCUGCAUUUAAACAAUUUGUCUCUUUUGAUCCUGACUAUUACAGUGGGUGUUACUUUCUUUAGUCAUUCUGUGGUAUCAAAGUUUCUGGUGUAGUUGUGUAAUUAUGGUUUUGGUUGGAUUCUUACUAGUAUUUUCUACCUUUAAACAGCAGGAAAUUAUAUACAUAUUUGUAGUGUGAUCUUCAUAAGAAGUCAAGAUGGUGAAGUUCACAGCGGAAGAGCUCCGUGCCAUCAUGGACAAAAAGAACAACAUUCGUAAUAUGUCCGUUAUUGCUCAUGUGGACCACGGUAUGUUAAGAACAGUGUUUAAUUAAAUGUUAUGCAUACCUGUUCCUCGACAUUUUUCAGGCUUUUCAAUUUUAGCAAUUGUUUUUUUUCAGUAUUAAAUCUCUGAAUUGUUCUUGCCAGUGAAUGCGAUUCAUGCUGCGUUAGCUAUCACAGACCUAUUUUACAUAUGUAGAAAUAUUCAUUUCAUGUUGGAAAUAGGCUUAUUGUUCUUUUGUAAUUAAUGUAUUGGUUUAUCUCUAGAUAUUGCAGUGUAUAGUAUCUGUUUACUAUGUGUUUUAUAUUGGGAUGUAUUGUUGUCUUUGUUAACUUGUGAGAGGUUGUCUAUCCCUAAUGUUGUACUAUUCUUGAUGCAUCUUCGGACUGACUUUUAAGUUCCACACUAUAGUCUUACAUCUCAUUAAUUCUUUGCAGGCAAGUCUACCCUUACAGAUUCCCUUGUGGCAGCUGCUGGGAUUAUUGCCCAGGAAGUUGCUGGUGAUGUCCGCAUGACUGAUACACGUGCAGAUGAAGCAGAGCGUGGUAUUACAAUCAAAUCCACCGGUAUUUCUCUGUACUAUGAGAUGACUGAUGAGUCACUGAAGAGUUACAAGGGUGAGAGAGAUGGUAACCAGUACUUGAUCAACCUUAUCGACUCACCUGGGCACGUUGAUUUUUCUUCGGAAGUCACAGCUGCCCUUCGUAUCACCGAUGGUGCUCUAGUGGUGGUUGACUGUAUUGAAGGUGUCUGUGUGCAAACUGAAACUGUGCUCCGCCAGGCUCUUGGUGAGAGGAUUAGGCCAGUGCUUACUGUGAACAAGAUGGACAGGUGUUUCCUUGAGCUUCAGGUUGAGGGUGAGGAAGCCUACCAGACUUUCUCCCGUGUCAUUGAGAAUGCCAAUGUCAUUAUGGCAACAUAUGAAGAUAAGCUCCUUGGUGAUGUCCAAGUCUACCCGGAGAAGGGAACUGUUGCUUUCUCUGCUGGUCUGCACGGCUGGGCCUUUACCCUCACCAACUUUGCCAAGAUGUAUGCUUCGAAGUUUGGAGUUGAUGAAACUAAGAUGAUGGAGAGGCUCUGGGGUGAGAACUUCUUUGACCCAGCCACAAAGAAGUGGACCACCAAGAACACAGGCUCUGCUACCUGCAAGAGAGGAUUUGUUCAGUUCUGCUAUGAGCCAAUCAAGCAAAUCAUCAACACCUGCAUGAAUGACCAGAAGGAUAAGUUGUGGCCCAUGCUUCAAAAGCUUAAUGUUACCAUGAAGUCUGAUGAGAAGGAAUUGGUUGGCAAGGCUUUGAUGAAGCGUGUUAUGCAAACUUGGCUUCCAGCUAGUACUGCACUGCUUGAGAUGAUGAUAUUCCACCUUCCUUCCCCAUCAAAGGCACAAAAGUAUCGUGUGGAGAACUUGUACGAGGGACCCCUUGAUGAUAUCUAUGCUACUGCUAUCAGGAACUGUGAUCCGGAGGGUCCUCUUAUGCUGUAUGUUUCUAAGAUGAUUCCAGCAUCUGACAAGGGCAGGUUCUUCGCCUUUGGUCGUGUCUUCUCUGGGAAGGUUGCUACUGGUAUGAAGGUUAGGAUCAUGGGUCCCAACUAUGUCCCUGGCCAGAAGAAGGAUCUGUACGUCAAGAGUGUCCAGCGUACUGUUAUCUGGAUGGGAAAGAAACAAGAGUCUGUUGAGGAUGUUCCUUGUGGUAACACUGUUGCUAUGGUUGGUCUGGAUCAGUUCAUCACGAAGAAUGCUACACUCACCAAUGAGAAGGAGGUUGAUGCAUGCCCAAUCAGAGCAAUGAAGUUCUCUGUCUCCCCUGUUGUGCGCGUUGCUGUUCAGUGCAAGGUUGCCUCUGACCUACCCAAGCUCGUUGAAGGUUUGAAGCGUCUGGCAAAGUCUGAUCCUAUGGUCCUCUGUACAAUUGAAGAAUCUGGUGAGCAUAUUAUUGCUGGAGCUGGUGAGCUUCACCUUGAGAUUUGCCUGAAGGAUCUGCAGGAAGACUUCAUGGGUGGUGCUGAAAUUAUUGUUUCUCCUCCUGUUGUCUCUUUCCGUGAAACUGUUCUUGAGAAAUCCUGCCGAACAGUCAUGAGCAAGUCCCCCAACAAGCACAACCGUCUUUACAUGGAAGCCCGUCCCUUGGAAGAGGGUCUCCCUGAGGCUAUUGAUGAGGGCCGCAUUGGUCCACGUGAUGAUCCCAAGGUUCGCUCCAAGAUCCUCUCUGAGGAGUUUGGUUGGGACAAGGAUCUUGCCAAGAAGAUUUGGUGCUUUGGAC